rnacentral:lncRNA from 1 species
ACCAAAUAAACAACAAGUCUUCAUCACUUGUUGACCUUGCCCUUGCCUUUGCUAGUAGAAGGCUCUUCGGACCUUUUGUUCUUAACUGUAAUGUUAUUAUUACGCAAGAGUGAGCACGAUUGCCCACAAGUAUAAUAAUAUAACAACAAUAUAAUAACAUGAGAGUGAAUCAAGACAUCUGAAUAAAGAAACUCAACUUUUGACUCAAGAAUGAAUAACAGGAAUCAAAAGAACAUCUGAGGGUCAUAAAACCUCGAACUAUGUCUUAGGUUGUAAAGUUUUUAUUCUUUAAACCUUUAACAGUCAUAAGACUAUGGACUCUACUUCUCGUACUUAGGGGGAUCAGCCCUUAGUACCAUACUGUGCACAAUAUCUCAACGCUAAAGCGUAAAUAAUCCCCUAUACAGGGUUGUUCAUCUCAGUUUGACAUCGAAGUCCGCACCAAAGAAAGUUUAGUUUGAAUAAGCUCAAUAAUAGUUUUGAAAUUUAGAACGUUCAUCAACUAUGGACUAGUCGAAUCAAUAAGGUUUGGCUAUUCUUACAAAGUUCAACAAUAAAGAUAUUCAAUUUAAAUUAACAAAUCUCAAGAGUAUACAAUUUAGGAAACAUUGUAUAACUGAAGUAAUACUUAAACAGAGUUAUAAUAUCUCAUCUGAAAUCUUGAACUUGAAUAGUAAGAACAAGAACUUGAUUGACAUAGAAUUAUAAGUAUCGAACUUGCUCAAUCGAAGAAUUUAGAAUUUAAAGAAACUUGUUUAACAAUAAUAAGUGAAUGAUAAAAUACUUUCUCAAUGUAAAAGUAAGGUUUAGAAACUUACUUGACGAUAAUAAUUUAGGGAUAAAAUACUUGCUUAAUCAUAAUAGAGUUAGGAUAAGGAAACUUGCCACAUGCGCAAGCUACAAAUCUAGUUACAAUACAAUUCCUCAACGUCCUACACAUUACAUUAUGCAUACGAUGUCGAAUAGUUUUCAUAACUACUAUGUUUAACUGUUGAACUAUUCACUUAAGUUCAACUUAAAACUUGGUUUAUAAUAUUACUCGAUGACUAACCACAUAACAUGAAUGUAAACUCACAACAUGCAUAUCACACAUGUAUAACCCUUUAAACAAUCAUAAUCAAGUAUUACAAUCACAAUAUUCAAGUUCGCACUUAGUUUGUUAACUUGAACCUUCACAUUAUCUCAUACAUGUUAAUAACUUAGUUUAUUAAUCAUGAACUUCAAAUCAUAUAAUAUUCAUGUAUGUAACUUAGAACAACAUCUUUUUUUAUCGAGAACACUACACUUGUGCGCGUGCAUGUCCGAAGCCUUCAGAUUACCUCUGAAUACGCAUCAGUCACAAAUAUGGUCAUUUUUACCCAUUUUAAAAUUUUUAAAUCGAAAAACUUAAAGAAUGAAAGUUGUAGGUAUACUCGUUAUCUUUUUAAAUCAUCCUGAAUCGCCUUAAUCGGAAUUCGUAUAAAGAAGUUAUGCUUAAUUUACUACAGGAGGUCAAAACAAAAAUUUUCCCUAAACUAUCCCCGCUGGGGGCAGGUGUUGUGCUACAUGGGGCCCGCUGGGGCGGGCCUAGAGCCGCUGGGGUGGGCUUACCUUGGCGGUUCAUCCCCCAUUCGCGAUGUUGACAUUUUUUAGCCCAAAUACUCCAAUUAAAUGCAAAUUAAACUCACACAGUGAUUUCUAUGAAGUAUGAACUUCAUAGAAACAUCAUACAAUAUUACUAACAUGUUUUUAACAUCUUAAAUCAUGCAAUUACUUGAAUCAAAUCAUUAAAUUCCACUGUUCUUGGUGUUCUUGACGAUUUUGAAGAAAAAUACGAAAAAUCAUCGUCCCGGAUUCGUUAUAACUCUGAAUCCGUCCGUUCAAAGUUUGUUUUCUUUUUUUUAACAUGUAUAAUCAUAGUCUACUGUAAAAUUCAUGUUAAAAAACCAAUUUAAAGUAUCCAAUUUAUACAUAAAGUCAUAUACAUGUUCCUCAUGCUCUACAACUUCUGAAAUUCCAAUUUAAACAUAAUUUCAUAGUUUUUGUUUCUUUAAAGCAUAUAUAAUUGAUGGAAUUCAUAUCAUAAUCAUAUAGUAACACGUAUAUAUUCACCUCAGGCAUAAAUCACCAAUUUGGUUGUUAUAGAGGAUUUCAGAACAUACGUUAAUGGAAGAACUUGAAAACAAAACUUGCAAACUAAAGAUGAAGGAAUUACCCUUGCUACUUGUGAGAUUAGACGAUGUAAAACUCUUCUUAUUCUUUGAUUCUUUAAUCUCUCUUCCUUAAACUCUCAAACUCUCUCUCAAAAUUUUCUCUAAACUUAUUAACUAGUAUAAUAUGAACUAAUAUAUGAUAUAAGUUUGAUUAUAUGAUAUAUAGAUAUAUAAUAUACGUAUGUAGAAUAACUGGUCUCGUAGUGGUCAGUUACUCCCAUUAUGGGUUAACUGGCCAACUCCUACUAAGGCCUCGUUUGGCUGGCCGCUUAAUAACUCAUUCUCAUUAAUUUAAUUAAAUGCUUUAUAGUAUAGUUUUAAUGUCACACUUCUAAUUAACCAAAUAAUCUUAUUUAAAUCAAUUAAAUAAAAUAUCAUAAAUCCACAUUAAAUCACAUAAUCACAUAAUUAAAAUUCUCAUUUAUUAAUUAUGUCAAAUAAUUAAAUCUCUAAUUAAUUAUUAAAUUAAUUAGAACAACAUUAUGCUUAUUAAAUGAUUCAUUUAAUCAAAUAAGCUAAAUUAAAUACAUGCUUUGAAUAAUAAAAUUCUCCACAUUAAUUUAAUCAAUGUAACACAUAUAAUUAAAUUAAUUUACCAUACUUUCAUCAAUUAAUUAUUUAAUUCAAUAAUUAACUCAUCGAAAAAUAUUUAUUUAAUUCAAUAAAUAUUCAAAUUAAAUUACAAAAAUCUCUUUCGUCACAUCUUUCCCACCUUAAAAGGAUUUUGUCCUCAAAAUCACGGUUCAAUUAAAUUCAUUUCGUUACAUUCUCCCCCCUUACAAAGAUUAUGUCCCCAGAAUUGCUUACACAUAAUUAUACAAAUAAUUGUGGAUAAUUCAUCAUCAUAUGGUCUUCGAGUUCCCACGUAGCUUCUUCAGCAUUGUGGUUCCUCCAAAUUACCUUAACAGAAGGUAUAACUUUAUUUCUGAGAACUUGCUCUUUCCUGUCAACAAUCUGGACAAGAAUUUCUUCAUAGGAUAAGUCUUUCUCACUAUGUAUUCUCAAUAUGUAGGGGUUCAUAUUCAAUCAUGUGCUUGUAAUCGGGUUUGUAGGGUCGAAAACUGAAACAUAGAAGACGUUGUGGACGUUCUCUAGCGCCGGAGGUAAGGCUACCUCAUACGCAACUUCUCCAAUUCUUCGAAGUACCUCAAAGGGUCCAAUGAACCUCGGGCUCAAUUUCCCCUUCUUUCUGAAUCUGAUCUUUCCCUUCCUGGGAUAGACUUUCAAAAACACAUAGCUACCCGAUUCGAACUCAAUGUUCUUACGGUGUGGAUUAGUGUAUUUCUUUUGCCUAUCCUGAGCUAUUACCUGUCUUAUUCUGAUUACUUGACUAUAUCUGCUGUCUGCUGUACCAGUUCUGGACCUAGUAGUUGUCUUUCGCCAACUUCAUCCCAGUAUAGCGGAGUUUUGCAUUUUCUUCCAUACAACGCUUCGUAAGGCGGCAUGCCAAUACUAGCGUGGUAACUGUUGUUGUAGCCGAAUUCCACAAGUGGUAGGUGAUUAUCCCAAUUUUCUUUGAAAUCCAUGAUGCACGCUCUCAACAUAUCCUCCAAGGUUUGGAUCGUUCUUUCGCUCUGCCCGUCAGUCUGAGGGUGAUAAGCCGUACUCAUUCUCAACUGUGUCCCCAUGCAUUCCUGUAGUCAUUUCCAAAAGUUCGAUGUGAAGCGCAGAUCUCGGUCAAAAACAAUUGACAUCAGGACUCCGUGCCUCGAAACAAUCUCUUUCACAUAUAACUUUUCCAACUGGUCUAAGUUGGAUCUGAUUCUGAUCGGAAGGAAGUGUGUUGAUUUCGUCAGUCGGUCAACGAUAACCCAUACUGCGUCGUAACCUUUCUGAGUCGUCGGAAGGCCAACCACGAAAUCCAUUGUAAUGUGUUCCCAUUUCCAUUCUAGGAUUUCUAGGGGUUGUAGCAAACCACUCGGUCUCUGAUGUUCUGCUUUCACUUUCUGACAGGUCAGACACUUUGCAACACACUCAGCAACAUCUUAUUUUAGAUCCGGCCACCAGAAGUGUUGUCGAAGAUCCUGGUACAUCUUGGUACUACAGGGGUGAAUCGAAUAUCGUGAGCUAUGAGCCUCGCCCAAAAUGUCCUCCUUAAUUUUUGGCACUAACGGUACUCAAACUCUGUUCUCAAAUCUUAGUAGUCCCUCACUGUCUAUCUUGAAUCUCGGUUCGGUUCCUUCAGAUAUUUUUUUCUUCACCUUUUCACAUUCUUCGUCCUGGAGUUGAGCUUCCUUAACUUUAUCCAAUAGGGUUGUACCAGCUUGCAUCUGAAACAACUAUUCGUCAAUCUCCAUCGGAUACUUCACUUCCAAUUUCAACUUUUCCAUUGCUGAAAUUAGCUCCUCCUGAGCAGUCAACAUCAUAAACUUCUCCCGACCCUUCCUGCUUAAGGCGUCGGCAACCACAUUAGCCUUACCCGGAUGGUAUAAAAUCUUGCAGUCAUAGUUUUUAAUUAACUCUAGCCACCUUCUUUGGCGCAUAUUCAAGUCCUUUCGUGUAAAAAUAUAUUUAAGACUCUUAUGGUCUGUAUAUAUUUCACACUUCUCACCACAGAGAUAGUGUCUCCAGAUCUUUAAGGCAAAUACCACUGCAGCUAACUCCAAGUCAUGGGUCGGAUAUCCCUUCUCAAAAUCCUUCAGUUGUCGUGAAGCAUACGCAAUGACCCUACCAUUUUGAAUAAGCACACAGCCUAGUCCUUUAUGCGACGCAUCACUAUAAACCACAAAAUUUUCUGUGUCGUCCAGAAGAGAUAACACAGGUACUGAACUCAUCCUCUUCUUAAGCUCUUGGAAGCUUUCCUCACACUUCUCCGUUCAAACGAACUUCACCGAUUUCCUAGUCAAAUUCGUCAGCGGGGUUGCGAUCUUGGAAAAGUCCUGAAUGAAUCUUCUAUAAUAGCCCGCCAAUCCAAGAAAACUUCUCACUUCUGAUGGCGUUUUCGGCUGAUCUCAGUUCAUCACAGCUUCGACUUUAGAGGGAUUUACCGAAAUUCCGUCAUUGUCGAUCACAUGUCCAAGAAAUUGUACUCUUUCAAUCCAGAAUUCACAUUUCAAAAACUUGGCGUACAACUUCUUUCUUCUCAACGCCUCUAAUGUUAACUUCAGAUGUUCUACAUGUUCUUCCUUGGUCUUCAAGUAUACCAAAAUGUCGUCGAUAAAGACCACCACGAAUUUGUCCAAAAACGGCUUAAACACUCUAUUCAUUAAGCCCAUAAAUGCUACAGGAGCAUUCGUUAGACCAAAUGACAUCACCAAAAAUUCAUAGUGACCAUAUCGAGUCCUAAAUGUUGUCUUCGAAACAUCCUCUGGCCUCACCUUCAGUUGAUGAUAACCACUCCUCAAAUUUAUCUUCGAAAAGUACCUUGCUCCCUUCAAUUGAUCAAAUAGGUCGUCGAUCCUCGGUAACAGAUAUCUAUUCUUAAUUGUGACCUUAUUCAGUUCUCUGUAGUCGAUACAAAGCCGCACCGUCCCGUCAUUCUUUUUCACAAACAACACCGGCGCUCCCCACGGAGAUACGCUCGGUUGGAUGUACUUCUUGUCUAAUAACUAUUACAGUUGUACCAUUAACUCUUUCAUCUCUACCAAAGCCAUCCGGUACGGUGCUUUCGAUAUUGGAGCCAUCCCUGGCGCCAAAUCGAUCACGAACUGAACUUCUCUGUCUGGUGGAAGUCCUGGCAGAUCAUCAGGAAAUACGUCUAUGAAGUCCCUCACGACUAGUAUAUCUUCCACUUUCGGGUUUUCUUUACGACUAUCGACUAUGUAGGCUAAAUAUUCUACACAGCCUUGGCUUAACAACUUCCUGGCCUGCAUCAUCGUCAGAAAACUAGCUUGCCUAGGCAAUUAAACACAACCUUUGACGGGGUCAUAAGGUUGAUACACUUCCUCUGGCAAUCAAUUACAGCCCCAUAAUUGACUAACCAAUCCAUUCCCAGAAUAAAAUCGAAUUCCCCAAGCCUAAUCGGGAUAAGAUCUACGUUCAUAAUGUUACCCUUAAUAUCCACCCUACAGUUCUUAUGUACGUACUUAAUAGGAAUCACUUCUCUAUUCACAAUUUCUAUGUUCAUAAGGUAUUCUAACUCGUCCAUAGGUAAUUCUAAGUUCUUAGCAAAGUCAUCAGAUAUAAAUGAACAAGUAGCACCCGAAUCAAAUAGUACAUAAGAAUUAAUUUUAUUGAUCGGAAUGAUGCCUGACACCACAUCGCGAGACUAUACAGCAUCCUGCACGGUCAUGUUGAAGGUUCUGGCGGUCGGUCGGUUGGUUGCGGUUGGUCCCGUGAUAGUUAGAGCACUUCCACCGCUGUUCCCCCUAUUCCCUACUGAUCUUGUCCCUCCAGAUCUCCUCUUGGGACAGUCCCUUGCCAGAUGGUCCUUUGUGUAAGACCCCAACUUUUAUGAAUAAAAAAUUUAAUUUCCUCUAUAAUUUAUUUUGAAUAGUAAGGGGUUGAUUUGAUUAAUGUGGUAAGUUAUGGGUAAAAUGCGCAAAUAUUUUUAAAUAAGCAAGUGGUUAUAAAAUAUUAAUUGUUGUCGGGGAAUAUUCACUUGGUCGUGAAAUAUUCUUGCUGUCGGGGAAUAUUCGUACAACGGCUCAGCCAAUUGUGGGCCCCAUAACAGAAAACUGUCGGAUGAAGAAAACGACACGAAUGAGGUUUUAAAAAAUAAUGGCGGAGUUGUUACCGUUUAACACUGUUGGAAUACCUGGUGGAUAAAAUAAAGUAAUACGCGUCGUUGCACAGUAGCACACGGUAUUGCACAGUAUUUUUAUAUUAUUGUUAAUUCCAUAAUUGCUACUGCACAGUAUUUCUUAUUAUCAGAUCAAUAAUUCAUAUUAUUUGAAUAAUAUUAUUAGAUAGCAUUAUUGACAAUGUUUAAGGAAGUUCUGUCGAGGAAAUGGGUUAGGUUAAUCUAAUUGCGCGUCAGUAAGGAGAAAUCCUUAUCGGAAAGCCCCCUCUUUCCUAGGAACGACCUGGUUGUCAAUAUUGUAGUUCUGUAAUAUUAUUUUUGAAUAAUUAAUUAUUGAUUUAUAUGAUAAGAAAAUAUUUAUUUUAUGGAUAUAAAUGAAGGAAAUAAUGCUAAGGUGUUUUUAUCAGUAUUUUGGUGUGAAAAAUCAUCUGUUUGUGGAUUUCGGACAUUUUCUAUUUAAAAUUUGGAAAAACUUUCUUCUGCAAAGUUGUAGAGAAUUAAAUUUCCUAUGGAAAGAACAUGAGAUUUGAAUUUUUCUGAUAAAGGGCUAUUUUUCAUGAAUUAUUGAAGUUCCAGAAUAUUGUGUCGGAAGUGAUUUUUGGGGUUAAAAUUUUUUUUUUACAAAAAACGUUUUUAAAUGGGUGGGCCCCACUUGGUGAGCUGAUGAAUGGGUCAAAGGUGGGCUUGAAUAUUUAUUUAAUAAAAUAAUAUUUUAUUAAAUUUUUUGCUUUGGCGUUCUAAGUAUUUUCCUAUAAAUAGGGUGCUAAAUUAGAAUUUGAAAAUCACACCAAAAUCAAAAGUUUCUCUCUAUAUAAUAUCGAGCGUAUUUUUGUGAGUAUUUAGAUAUUGUGAGUGUUGCUAUGCAAAUUUUCUUCAGCCUUAUAUCCGAUAUUCCAAUUCGAAGUACUGUCCUUUUGAGGUAAGGGAUGUUAUUUUUUUUUUUCUGAAAAUGAUGUUAUUUCUUUUAAUAUCAUUAUACCAAAAUAUUGACAUGGAUUUUAUUAUGAAAUUCUUACUUUUUCCGUCGAGGUUACUAUUCACGUAUACAGCACUAUUCACGUAUACGACAUUAUUCACCGGAAAAUUUAAAAUUUCUUUUAUUUGUCCAAAUUGGCUAUUAAGAUUUUUAUCUUUGAUUGAAUCCAAGUUUUGAACUUUAUUCUUAAAUUUUGCUCCAUAAAUAAUUAUUAUGGAGUGUUUUUGGACUUGGAUAAACUAAAAUUACGAAUCCUUAUUUUUGUCCUUUAUCUCACUGGAUUCGUUCUUUAAAAUAAUUUUCAUUAUCUUCAGUUUUAAAUGGUGAUACGAAAGAAUAUCGUUGGCCCGUAGUGCAAAGAUGGAUGAUUAUUUGAUGAAUAUCUUUGGCCUGUAGUGCAAAGAUGACAAGUAUUGAGAUGAACAUGACCAACUGGUGAUAUAAAUGAAUUUCUUUGGCCGUAGUGCAAAGAUGAAUAUUUGAUUUGAUAAAUAUAUGGAUGUUACAGGGAUACAAUAUUGAUGAUGGACUUUUAAAUCAUAGAUGUGACGCCCCCAAAAUAGGUCCAUUCCAUCCAACCCAUUCUGAGUCGCCAAAUACAUGGUACAUAAAUAACUACAACUUUAUUAUUACAACAUAUAAACUGUGAGUUUAAAUACAGAUAUUGCCAUCUAGACAAUAUCCACACGCAAAUAAAUCCCCAUCAUAAUUAUUGAUACAUUAUUUUACAAAAAUGGUGAGGACUACUAAACAACUCUCUCUAGAACCUUCAUUCCAUACCCCGACUCGUACUCGCUAUAUUCUCGCCUCCUGAGAAGAAAAAUGGAACAAAAAGGAAAAGGGUGAGCUCAACUAGCCCAGUAAAGAAUAUUAUGACUAAGAUAAUAUACAACAAAUUAUCGUUAGUCUUCAACAGGGAAAAAUCUAAUAGAAUACAAUAGACAACAAGUUUUAAAUCAAUAUUCGCAGCGGAAAUAAUAAUUCAUUAGAAGAGUUAAGUAGAGAAUGCAAACUACUAUCUUCUAUGUAUGAAUUUAAAAGUUCAUCGUCUAUCUUUUAUCCCUGUAACAUCAAUCAAUAUAUAUCUGGAAUCAAAUAUUCAUCUUUGCACUACAGGCCAAAGAUAUUCAUCAGUUGGUCAUGUUCAUCUAAACACCUGUUCAUCUUUGCACUACGGGCCAAAGAUAUUCAUCAGAAAUCAUUCAUCUUUGCACUACAGGCCAAAGAUAUUCAAUAAUAUCAUCAUUUAAGACUGAGGAUGAUAAAAAAUUUUUUUUAAAGAAACGAAUCCAGUGAAACAAAAUGACAAGGAUUAAGGAUUAAGGAUUCGUACUUUGUUUUAUCCACGUCCAAAAAUACCUCAAAAAUAAUCAUAGUGGUGUAAAAUUCAAGAAUGAUCAAAACAUGGAUACAAUCAAAGCUAGUAUCCAGAAUAGAUAUUUUGGACAAAAAGAAGAAAUUUCAUUUUUCGGUGAAUAGUGCCGUAUUCGUGAAUAGUGCCGUAUACGUGAAUAGUAACUCCAACACCAAAAGAUAGAAAUUUCACAAAAAACAUCAUCACGCUUCGUGAAUAGUAACUCGUGAAUAGUAACUCAUGAAUAGUAAUUCGUGAAUAGUAACUCAUGAAUAGUAACCCCGACAUAAAAAAGUUUCAAAUUUGAUACAAUUUCCAACCAAUAUUUUGGCAUAAUGAUAUUGAAGAAAUAAUAUCAUUUACGAAGAAAAUAACAUCCCUUACCUCGAAAGACAGUACUUCUAGUUGAAACACCGGAUAUAGGCUAUGACUUGAACUUGCACCGUAUAGCAAUACUUAAAGUAAACUAAAAAUACUCACAAGAAUACGCUCGAUAAUAUAGAGAGAGAAAACUUCAGUUUCUGGUGUGAUUUUCAAUUCUAACCUAAGCACCCUAUUUAUAGAAAAAUGCUUAGAACACCAAAGUAGAAAAUUUAAUAAAUUAAUAUUAAUUAUUUUCCACAUCUUCCUACGCAUCCAUGAAUCUGAACUCAGCCAUCCUAACACAUGUUAAAUGAGUCCCAAACAUGUAAAAAAUGUUUUUCCUAUUUUAAAUAUUUUAAACUUCCAAAAAUCAAUUAUUUCGGAACUCCGAAACUUCAAUAAUUCAUAAUAAAUAGCUCUUUUGUCAGAAAAUUCGAAACACGCGAUUUUUUAUAGGAAAUUCAAUUCUCUACAACUUUACAGAAGAAAGUUUUUCCAAAUUUCAAACAAAAAUUGAUCGAAAUCCACAAACGGGCGAUUUUACAGGCUAUAAUCAAAUUUCAGUCAAGAAAUAUGGUCCACCGACACAUAAAACAUGCUUUAAAUAUUUUUGGUAACAAAAAUACUCCUCCUCCACAUAUACUCAUAUAUCCCACAUUCAUCGUAAAAAUAUCAUCAUUAUUAUAUUAUUAAAAUAUAAUAAUAUAUUUAAANNNNNNNNNNNNNNNNNNNNNNNNNNNNNNNNNNNNNNNNNNNNNNNNNNNNNNNNNNNNNNNNNNNNNNNNNNNNNNNNNNNNNNNNNNNNNNNNNNNNNNNNNNNNNNNNNNNNNNNNNNNNNNNNNNNNNNNNNNNNNNNNNNNNNNNNNNNNNNNNNNNNNNNNNNNNNNNNNNNNNNNNNNNNNNNNNNNNNNNNNNNNNNNNNNNNNNNNNNNNNNNNNNNNNNNNNNNNNNNNNNNNNNNNNNNNNNNNNNNNNNNNNNNNNNNNNNNNNNNNNNNNNNNNNNNNNNNNNNNNNNNNNNNNNNNNNNNNNNNNNNNNNNNNNNNNNNNNNNNNNNNNNNNNNNNNNNNNNNNNNNNNNNNNNNNNNNNNNNNNNNNNNNNNNNNNNNNNNNNNNNNNNNNNNNNNNNNNNNNNNNNNNNNNNNNNNNNNNNNNNNNNNNNNNNAAUAUUCCACGACCAAACGAAUAUUCCCCGACAAUAAUGAAUAUUUUAUAACCACUUGCUUAUUCGAAAUAUUUGCGUAUUUUACCCAUAACUAUCCACAUUAAUCAAAUCAACCCUUACUAUUUCAAAAUAAUAAAUAGAGGAAAAUAAAUUUCAUUUAUUAAUAAUUUGGGGUCUUACAAUAGAAGAUAGUAGACAUUAUUUUCUACUUUACUCAUCUGAUAUAUUGUUAUUUCUGCUGCAGUUGUUAAUCUAAAACUUGUUGUCCAUAAUAUUUUAUCUGAUCUGUUAAAGACUAACGAUAAAUUAUUUUUCAUUAUCUUAGUCAUAAUAUUCUUUACUGGGCUAGUUGAGCUCACCCUUUUCAUCUAUUGUCCUCUUCAGGAAAUGAGAAUGUUGCGAUGACUAGUCGGGGAACAGAGUAAUGGGCAGACUUAAGAGCAGUAGUAGUUCUCACUAUUUUUAUAAAAUAGUGUGAUAAUAAUUUUAAUGAGUUAUUAGUUUGAAUGUUUAACUUUUUUAGAUAUUUGUAUUGACACUCACAGUGUCUGAUCGUAUUUUUUACUACCUUGUGUUAUAAAAGAUUGUAUUUGGAUUAUGAACCAUGUAUUUGGCGACUCAGAAUGAGUAGGGUUGACUGGACCUAUUCUGGGGGCGUCACAGUUGGUAUCAGAGCUUAGGCAUAUGAUCUCUGGCGGAGAUCGGGGAAUAGAACUAGGAGGGGAGAGACGAGUAAAUCCUUCGCUAGUAUGUCCCACCUAAGCUUAUUUGGAAUUUAAUUGGCGGGUCGUGGUUAUAGGGUUGAUAUGUUGAUUUAUUUAAUUAACCCUUGUUUUAUGGCAGUAUUUGAAAAUGGCAGCUGAGAAUAUUAGCAAUGGAGUGUAUGAAACUGUGGAGACACCUUUGAUCACCAACCAGGAGAACGUACAUCAGGAAGACAAUAUUCCUCCUGUGAACAACACUACCGAACAGACGUUGAACGAUGGGAUGUUUAGAAGCUUUUUGCAGUUUAUACAAAACCAGACGAGGGAGACUCGUGCGCAAAAUACAGGUGGAAAUAAUAACAACACGUGGAUUGUCGCUGCCAAGCAGUUCAAAGAGUUGGGACCACCAGAGAUUUUGGGAAAUCCAGAUCCGAUCAGGACGGAGACAUGGGUUAAGCAAAUUACCAAGAUAUUUGAUGUCUUGGGAUGCACGGAGGAACAAAAGGUUCUAUUCGCUACUUUUAUGUUCUGAGGAGUGGUAGAUUAAUGGUGAGAAUCUGUGAAGUGUACCCAAAAUACUGCACUCAAGAUGUCUUGGGAAGCGUUCCAGAAACUGUUCAAUGAUAAGUACUUUCCUGAAUGUAUUCGUCAUAUGAAAGAGGUAGAGUUCAUCAGACUGGAACAGAACAACAUGACUGUGUCCCAGUACGAGGCUAAGUUCGCGGAGUUGUCCAGGUUUGCACCUCAUUUGGUGGAGAAUGAGGAACGUAUAACGCGGAUGUUUCUGAGAGGUUUGAAACCCGAAAUACGUCAAUACCUCAUUUCUCACAAAUUUUCUUUAUAUUCAGAUGUAGUAAACAGGGCUCAGUUAUUAGAACGAGAUAAUGAGUUUGUUCAAUCGAGGGACAACAACCAAGGAUGUACCAGUGGCAGCAGUCAUAGGAACAAUGACAACCAACAGGGAGGAAAGUAUCAUGACAGAAGCGGUAACCACUCUGGUGGUAAUCGUGGCCACAAUAAUAGAAGAAGUGAGUCGGGAGGAGAUUUCAAGAAGAGAAGGUACAACAAUGAGAAUGUGAAGACGUCGACAUCAGCACCAACAUCAACUGUUUCUAGGGGAGGAGAAUGACCACUAGUCGUAUGUUAUAAAUGCGAAAAAGAGGGGCACAUCAGCCCAAACUGCCCACAACAACUCAAGGUGUGUUAUAACUGUGGAAAGGAAGGUCAUAUAGCUCGAGAGUGUCCUGUAGCAAAACCAAGUCCAGCGGGGGUGGUGAUUCCAAAGGCAAUUUUGGACAAGUCGAAGUCAGUGGUUCCUGGUAGAUCGUUUGUCAUGAUUUCCCAGAACGCGAGGAACCCGCACGAGGUGAUUACGGGUAAGCUAAUAAUAAACUCUUGCGAAGUUUACACCUUGUUAGAUAUCGGUGCUACCCAUUCUUUUAUUUCACCUACUUGUGCUCAACGUUUAAAUUUGACACCUGAGAAACUAGACUUUGACUUAUCUGUUGAAACUACGUUGGGUGAAACUUUUGUUACAUCUACAGUUUACAAAUCUUGCUUAAUUCAGAUUGGUACCCUCACCCUACCUGUUGAUCUUAUAUCUUUGAAAAUACUUACAUUUGACGUGAUUUUAGGAAUUGACUGGUUAACCACUUACCAUGCCAAAAUUUAUUGUUUCCGUAAGGUUGUUAGUUUUCAUAUUCCUAACCAACCUAUUGUGCGAAUCCGAACAACCAAACCACUAAAAUCAGUCAAUGUUAUUUCAAGUCAUAAAGCUAUUCGUUUAUUGAAAAAUGGAUGUCAAGCUUUCUUAGCCCAUGUCACUGAUCUAAAUCGGAAUACGUCAGGUUUAAAUGAUAUUUCUUUUGUUAAUGAGUUCCCUGAUGUAUUUCCCGAAGAACUUCCCGGUCUACCUCCAGAACGUGAGGUUGAAUUCUUUAUUGACCUUGAGCCCGAUACAAAACCCAUUUCUAAAAUCCCAUAUCGAAUGGCUCCUAUUGAACUCCAGGAGUUAAAGGUCCAGUUACAGGAGUUGUUGGACAUCGGUUUUAUUCAUCCUAGUACGUCUCCUUGGGGUGCUCCUGUUUUAUUUGUGAAGAAGAAAGACGAGAGUAUGCGACUUUGUAUUGACUAUCGGGAGUUGAACCACGUCACCAUCAAGAAUAGGUAUCCGCUACCUCGUAUUGAUGACUUUUUUGACCAGUUGGAAGAAGCGCAAUUCUUUUCAAAGAUCAAUCUUCGUUCUGGAUAUCAUCAUCUGAAGAUUAAAACUGAGGAUAUUCCGAAGACUGCCUUCAGAACUCAGUACUGGCAUUAUGAAUUCCUAGUCAUGUCUUUUGGAUUGACUAAUGCUCCUGCUGCUUUCAUGGACAUGAUGAAUCGGAAAUUCAAGGAAUAUUUGGAUCAGUUCGUGGUUGUCUUUAUUGAUGACAUUCUCAUCUAUUCCAAAAGCUGUGAAGAUCAUGAGCACCACUUGAAGCUAGUACUUCAAAGGCUUCGUGAAAACAAACUAUAUGCCAAGCUGAAGAAAUGCGAGUUUUGGCUUGAGGAAGUAGCAUUCCUUGGGCACGUAGUAUCAAAACAUGGAGUAUCUGUUGACCCGGCAAAGAUCAAAGCAAUACAAAGUUGGGAUCAACAGAAGUCGGUGACUAAAGUGCGUAGCUUUCUGGGCUUAGCUGGUUAUUAUCGGAGAUUCGUGGAGGGAUUCUCUCGAAUCGCUACUCCAUUAACUCAGCUGACUCGGAAAGAUACAAAAUUCUUAUGGAGCGAGGAAUGCGAGAAGAGCUUUCAAGAGAUCAAGAGGAGACUUAUUUCGGCACCUGUUCUGACAAUACCAUCUGGUUCAGAUGGAUUUGUUAUCUAUAGUGAUGCUUUAGGCAAAGGGCUAGGAUGUGUUCUCAUGCAACGUGGGAAAGUCAUAACCUAUGCCUCGCGACAACUCAAGGAAUAUGAGAGGAAUUAUUAUACUCAUGAUAUGGAGUUGGCAGCAGUCAUUUUUGAGUUAAAGAUUUGGAGACACUAUCUGUACGGGGAGAAAGUGGAGAUUUAUACGGAUCACAAGAGCCUUAAAUAUUUCUUCACUCAGAAGGAACUCAACAUGCGACAACGAUGUUGGCUUGAGCUGUUGAAAGAUUAUGACCAUACCAUCCAAUACCAUCCUGGUAAAGCGAACGUGGUAGCUGACGCAUUGAGUAGGAGAUCAUAUGCAGGAACGAAUGCGUUGAUGUCAAGUAUACGCGUAAAACCAGCUUUGAUUGACAAAGUUAAAGCUGCUCAAGCUACGGAUCCGGAGUUGAUGAAGAUGAAGAAUAAGGUGCAAGAAGGUGUGGUUCCGGAAGCAAGAAUUGAUGAAGAAGGAAUACUUCGAGUCAACUCCAGACUUUGUGUUCCUAACGAUUCUGACUUGAAGCAUAGAAUCAUGAUGGAGGCACACAACACACCGUUUGCAAUCCAUCCUGGUAGUACCAAAAUGUAUCGUGAUCUUCGACAUAAAUUUUGGUGGAACAAUAUGAAGAGAGAGAUCGCGGAGUUUAUCUCGAGGUGUUUAACUUUUCAACGUGUAAAGGUGGAGCAUCAAGUGCUAAAGGGUCCAUUGCAACCACUUGAGAUUCCAAAGUGGAAGUGGGAACACAUUACCAUGGAUUUCGUUACGGGUCUUCCCAAGGUUUCUCAAGGCAAAGAUGCGAUUUGGGUUAUUAUUGAUAGAUUAACCAAGUCUGCUCAUUUGUUGCCGAUACGGGAGACUUAUUCUCUUGAACGUCUUGCUCGUAUGUACGUGAAUAAGAUUGUGAGGUUGCAUAGCAUGCCAGUAUCCAUAGUUUUGGAUCGUGACCCAAGAUUCACUUCAUGAUUUUGGGUUAGUUUGCAGAAAGCUAUGGGCACAGAUUUACGGUUUAGUUCGGCAUAUCAUCCUCAAACGGACGGGCAAUCAAAAAGGACUAUUCAAACUCUUGAAGAUCUAUUGAAACUCUGUGUUCUAGACUUCAAAGGGAGUUGGGAUAAGUACCUACCAUUGGUGGAAUUCUCUUACAACAACAGUUAUCAGGCAAGUAUCGACGUGACUCCAUUCGAGGCAUUGUAUGGGAGAAAGUGUCGUUCUUCAGUGUGUUGGGAAGAGGUGGGUGAGGCAACAUUAUUGGGACCAGAGUUGGUUCGUAUGACUAUUGAAAAGAUUCAAAUGAUCCGACAACAUAUACAAACAGCACAGGAUGGACAAAAGAGUUAUGCGGAUCUUCAUCGAAAGGACGUGGAAUUUAAUGUUGGGGACCAUGUGUUGUUACGUGUUGCUCCGUGGAAGGGAGUUACGAGGUUUGGCAAAAGAGGAAAGCUCAAUCCACGAUUCAUUGGUCUAUUUGAGAUUCUUGACCGAAUAGGAAAUAUGGCCUAUAGACUCGUAUUACCUCCAAACAUGUCUCGUGUUCACAACGUGUUUCACAUAUCUGUGUUACCUAAAUAUGUGAAAGACCCGAACCACAUUAUUGAAUUAGAACCGGACGAGAUAGCUGAAGAUUUAACGUACGAGGAGGUACCUGUCAAGAUCUUGGAUAGGAAUGAGCAUUUCCUAUGCACAAAGGCUAUACCAUAAGUCAAGGUUUUGUGGAGGAACCAUGCUAUUGAGGAAAUGACCUGGGAGUUGGAAUCGAAAAUAAAAGCGAGUUAUCCUCAUCUUUUGGAAACACCAGGUAUGCACGUCAAUUUCAAGGACGAAAUUUCAUAAGGAGUGGAGGUUGUAAGACCCCAACUUUUAUGAAUAAAAAAUUGAAUUUCCUCUAUAAUUUAUUUUGAAUAGUAAGGGGUUGAUUUGAUUAAUGUGGUAAGUUAUGGGUAAAAUACGCAAAUAUUUUUAAAUAAGCAAGUGGUUAUAAAAUAUUCAUUGUUGUCGGGGAAUAUUCGCUUGGUCGUGGAAUAUUCUUGCUGUCGAAAAAUAUUCGUACGACGACGCAGCCAAUUGUGAGUCCCAUAACGGAAAACUGUCGGAUGAAGAAAACGACACGAAUGAGUGUUUAAAAAAUAACGGCGGAGUUUUUACCGUUAACACUGUUGGAAUACCUGGUGGGUAAAAUAAAUUAAUACGCGUCGUUGCACAGUAGCACACGGUAUUGCACAGUAUUUUUAUAUUAUUGUUAAUUAGAUAAUUGCUACUGCACAGUAUUUCCCAUUAUCAGAUCAAUAAUUCAUAUUAUUUGAAUAAUAUUAUUAGAUAGAAUUAUUGGCAAUGUCUAAGGAAGUUCUGUCGAGAAAAGGGGUUAGGUUAAUCUAAUUGCGCGCCAGUAAGGAGAAAUCCUUAUCGGAAAGCCCCAUCUUUCCUGGGAACGACCUGGUUGUCAAUAUUGUAGUUCUGUAAUAUUAUUUUUGAAUAAUUAAUUAUUGAUUUAUAUGAUAAAAAAAUAUUUAUUUUGUGGAUAUAAAAGAAGGAAAUAAUGCUGAGGUGUUUUUAUCAGUAUUUUGGUGUGAAAAAUCAUCCGUUUGUGGAUUUCGGACAUUUUCUAUUUGGAAUUUGGAAAAACUUUCUUCUGUAAAGUUGUAGAGAAUUAAAUUUCCUAUGGAAAGAAUAUGAGAUUUGAAUUUUUCUAAGAAAGGGCUAUUUUUCAUGAAUUAUUGAAGUUCCAGAAUAUUGUGUCGGAAGUGAUUUUUGGGGUUAAAAAUAUUUUUUUUACAAAAAAUGUUUUUUUAAUGGGUGGGCCCCACUUAGUGAGCUAAUGAAUGGUUCAAAGGUGGGUUUGAAUAUUUAUUUAAUAAAAUAAUAUUUUAUUAAAUUUUCUGCUUUGGCGUUCUAAGCAUUUUUCUAUAAAUAGGGUGUUGAAUUAGAAUUUGAAAAUCAUACCAGAAUUAGAAGUUUCUCUCUCUAUAAUAUCGAGCGUAUUUUUGUGAGUAUUUAGAUAUUGUGAGUGUUGCUAUUCAGUGCAAGUUUUCUUCAGCCUUAUAUCCGAUAUUCCAAUUCAAAGUAUUGUCCUUUUGAGGUAAGGGAUGUUAUUUUAUUUUAUUUUAUUUUUUUUUUUCUGAAAAUGAAGUUAUUUCUUUUAAUAUCAUUAUUCCAAAAUAUUGGCAUGGAUUUUAUUAUAAAAUUCUUCCUUUUUUUGUCGGGGUUACUAUUCACGUAUACGACACUAUUCACCGGAAAAUUUAAAAUUUCUUUUAUUUGUCCAAAUUGGCUAUUAAGAUUGUUAUCUUUAAUUGAAUCCAAGUUUUGAACUUUAUUCUUAAAUUUUGCUCCAUAAAUGAUUAUUAUUGUGGAGUGUUUUUGGACUUGGAUAAACUAAAAUUACGAAUCCUUACUUUUGUCCUUUAUCUCACUGGAUUCGUUCUUUAAAAUAAUUUUCAUUAUCUUCAGUUUUAAAUGGUGAUACGAAAGAAUAUCGUUGGCCCGUAGUGCAAAGUGGAUGAUUAUUUGAUGAAUAUCUUUGGCCCGUAGUGCAAAGAUGAACGAUUACUUGAUGAAUAUCUUUGGCCUGUAGUGCAAAGAUGACAGGUGUUGAGAUGAACAUGACCAACUGGUGAUAUAAAUGAAUAUCUUUGGCUGUAGUGCAAAGAUGAAUAUUUGAUUUGAUAAAUAUAUGGAUGUUACAGGGAUACAAUAUUGAUGAUGGACUUUCAAAUCAUAGAAGAUAGUAGACAUUAUUUUCUACUUUACUCUUCUGAUAUAUUGUUAUUUCCGCUGCAGUUGUUGAUCUAAAACUUGUUGUCCAUAAUAUUUUAUCUAAUCUGUUGAAGACUAACGAUAAAUUAUUUUUUAUUAUCUUAGUCAUAAUAUUUUUUACUGGGCUAGUUGAGCUCACCCUUUUCAUCUAUUGUCAUCUUCAGGAAAUUUGAAUGUUGCGGGGACUAGUCGGGGAACAGAGUGAUGGGCAGACUUAAGAGCAGUAGUAGUCGGGGACUUAGUUUGAAUGUUUAAAUUUUCUAGAUAUUUGUAUUAACACUCAGUGUCUGAUCGUAUUUUUCACUUCCUUGUGUUAUAAAAGAUUGUAUUUGGAUUCUGUACCAUAUAUUUGGCGACUCAUAAUGGGUUGUGUUGACUGGACCUAUUCUGGGGGCGUCACACUUUGAGUCGCAAGUGAAGCAAGUGCCCUUCUUUGGGUUAGGGCAGUUAGGUGCUAUGUGGCCUUCCUGACCACAAUUGUAGCACACUCAUUUUCCUUUUAUACAGACCCCCAGGUGAUCUUUCCCGCAUGUUGAAAAAGCUUCGAUCCUCUUCUUCUGACCUCCUUGCUGAUUUUCAGUUGAUGAGUUGUCGAUCCACCUCCUUUUCUGGUUGUUACUUCCUCCCGUGUUGCUACCACUAGCCUUGUUAACUCAUUCACAUUCACUCUUCUUCUUUUUCUGAUCUUGGUUAUACUUUGUAACAGUGUCACUCCCGCCUUCAUCGAGAAUGGCCUUCUCUAGCACCCUAGCAAAAGUGUUCAAUUGGAACAUUGAAACUUUGCUAUACAACCAGGGCUUCAGGCCCUGUUCAAACCUCUUUGCCUUCCUCUGAUCGGUGUGCACUUAAUACGUGGAAAACCUAGCCAACUCAUUGAAUUUUUCCGCAUACUCUGGUACGGACAUAUUCUCAUGUUUCAACUCCAGAAACUGAACCUCCAUUUGAUUCUGCGAGCUGGUCGAAAAAUACAUCUCGAAGAACAUCUCUUUGAACCUCUCCCAGAUAAUAACACCUUCUCCUCCCCUGACCUUAUUUUCUUGCCACCAAUAACUAGCUUCGGAUUUCAGCAUGAAUGUUGCGUAGGCGGUUUUCUGGCCUUCUCUGACUCUGGCGAAGUCGAAAACUUUCUCCAUCUCCAUAACCCAGGUUUAAGCUUCUAUCGGGUUCAUGGUGCCUUUAAACUCUGGCGGUCGCACCGCCUUGAAGUCUUUGAACGUUGUGUUCGGUGGAGCUUGAGAUUGGUUAUUAAGCGCUCCAACAAGUAAGUUCACCAACUACUGAACGGGGUUAGCAUUGGGGUUGUUGUUGUUGUUUGUUGACCCCUCUUGGGCCUGUUGACGGUUAGGUCGUCUUCUUGGCGGCAUUUUCUGUUAAGAAAUACUCUUAUUAGAUCUUUAUUCAAUUCUCUAAAUAUCUAAGGCUUAACUUAAACGUUUAGACACAAUCACUUCAACACAUUAUCUCAAAUAAACUCUGAUAUAUUAUUUAAUCAAAAGUUUUAAAAUAAUACGAUAGCAUCACUACUAUUUACAUCAACUAUCCCGAGAUAAAGAAUCUACAGGAUUUAAAACAUCAUAAUAUUCCUCUGUUUAUAAACACAUUGGAAUUUACAUUAUUAACUACCAGAUAGGUUUCAUAAAAUCAAAUGCUUCUGUCACUGCCUAUUAAUGCGACGAACAGCUUUGCCACGCUCUUCUUCCAUAAUUCGGGACAUCGUCCUGCGAUCUAGCAUGUACGACGGUAGUCCUUCAAACUGAAUUGGGUACCUCAUAACCCGAUCUUGGGCCUUAUCAAUUGCAUUCUGAAGCGUAGAGUAUGUCUCCUCAAGCUUGGCCUUCUUCGCCCGACAGUUAUCUUCUGCGAUAUCUGGUCGUCGUGAUUCCCUUACCCAGGCCUCCUCUGCUAUGGCCAGCCUUGCUGAUUUCUCUUUCAGUUCAUUCUUCAAUUCCUCUAUUUCCUCUGACUUCUGCUCGGUUUGGCCCUUCUCGUGAACCAAAUCCCACUCUACAUUUCUAAACGUGUGUGAAGAGCCUCAACCUCUCCAUCCCUCAGCUCGAUGGUAAACUGUUAAGUAACUGACCGCUCCCUCAACUCCUGAACAGUCUCCCUCAACUCCUGAACAGUAUCACGUAACUCUAUGUUACGGUCAUACAACUCGUCAUACAUCUCGGCACUGAUAGAGCUCGAUGGGAACUCUUCAGGGUCUUCCUCCUCCUCUUCGGCUGUCUUAGCCUGAACCUCAAUCUCCUCAGGGUCUUCCUCAGAGUCCUCCUCUGAAUCAGAUACCAACACAUACUCCUGACCAAUGACUGUGAUCAAGGUUGAUGGCUCUCGUCGGACUAACUGCUCCCAGACUACGUGGAUGUCUCGGGGCUCUUCUUUUCUAGCCUCUAGGGGUAUAAGGUCCCUUGGCUGACUAGGUUCUCCAGCAUUCGUCAUCCUGACAAAUAAAAUUUUAAGUCUUAGUUAUUACGCGAUGUUAAUCGAUACUAGAGUAUAUAAGUAUAAGCACAUAGCAUAUAAGGGUAAGUUAUUAUCUUUCUUAGAAUUCGAUAAGAGUUAUCAUUACUAUGUUUUUGAUCUCUAAAAAGGCUAUUAUCCUAAGGUUUUCCCUAACCUAAGGUUCAGAACCUGUCUCUGAUACCAACCUGUGACACCCCCAAAUCUGGGUACUUCAAUUCCACGGGAUUUGGUGUUCACUGUACAAAUAUCAUCUAUCUAUCUACACAUAAUAAAUGCAAACCAUGCAAUAGAUAGAAAUAAAUUCUCCCCUUAUGGGGUUACAACAUCAGAAUAUAAAUACAUCAAUCCCUGGUCAUACUAACCUUAAAUCUCAAAUACAGAAACGUAAACAAAUAAAUAGUUUUACACAACUUUAACAUAAGUCUUAAACAAUAACAUAUCAAAUAAACAAUAAGUCUUCAUCACUUGUUGACUUUGCCCUUGCCUUUGCUAGUAGAAGGUUUUUCGGACCUUUUGUUCUUAACUGCAAUGUUAUUAUUAUGCAAGAGUGAGCACGAUUGCCCACAAGUAUAAUAAUAUAACAACAAUAUGAUAACAUGUGAGUGAAUCAAGACAUCUGAAUAAAAAAACUCAACUUUUGAUUCAAGAAUGAAUAACAGGAAUCAAAAGAACAUCUGAGGGUCAUAAGACCUCGAACUAUGUCUUAGAUUGUAAAGUUUUUAUGCUUUAAACUUUUAACAAUCAUAAGACUAUGGACUCUACUUCUUUUAAUUAGGGGGAUCAGCCUUUAGUACCAUAUUGUGCACAAUAUCUCAACGCUAAAGUGUAAAUAAUCCCCUAUACAGGGUUGUUCAUCUCAGUUUGACAUCGAAGUCCGCACCAAAGAAAGUUUGGUUAGGAUAAAAUAAAUAAUAGUUCUGAAAUUUAGAAUGUUCAUCAACUAUGGACUAGUCGAAUCAAUAAGGUUUCACUAGUCUUACAAGGUUCAACAAUAAAGAUAUUCAAUUUAAAUUAACAAAUCUCAAGAGUAUACAAUUUAGGAAACAUUGUAUAACUGAAGUAAUACUUAAAAACAAUUAUAAUAUCUCAUCUGAAAUCUUGAGCUAGAAUAGUAAAAACAUGAUCUUGAUUGACAUAGAAUUAUAAGUAUCGAACUUGCUCAAUCGAAGAAUUUAGAAUUUAAAUAAAUUUGUUUAACAAUAAUAAGUGAAGGAUAGAAUACUUGCUCAAUGUAAAAUUAAGGUUUAGAAACUUGCUUGACGAUAAUAAUUUAGGGAUAAAAUACUUGCUUAAUCAUAAUAGAGUUAGGGUAAGGAAACUUGCCUCGUGCAGAAGCUACAAAUCUAGUUACACUACAAUUCCUCAACGUCCUACACAUUACAUUAUGCAUACGAUGUCGAUUAGUUUUCAUAACUACCAUGUUUAACUGUUGAACUAUUCACUUAAGUUCAACUUAAAACUUGGUUUAUAAUAUUACUCGAUGACUAACCACAUAACAUGAAUGUAAACUCACAACAUGCAUAUCACACAUGUAUAACCCUUUAAACAAUCAUAAUCAAGUUUUACAAUCACAAUAUUCAAGUUCGCACUUAGUUUGUUAACUUGAACCUUAACAUUAUCUCAUACAUGUCAAUAACUUAGUUGAUUAAUCAUGAAUUUCAAAUCAUAUAAUAUACAUGUAUGUAACUUAGAACAACAUCUUUUAUUAUCGAGAACACUACACUUGUGUGCGUGCAUGUCUGAAUCCCUCUGAUUGCCUCCGAAUACGCAUUAUUCACAAAUAUGGUUAUUUUUACCCAUUUUAACGAUUUCAAAUCAAAAAACUUAAAUAAUGAAAGUUGUAGGUAUACUCGUUAUCUUUUUGAAUCAUCCUGAAUCGCCUUAAUCGAAGUUCGUAUGAAGAAGUUAUGCUUAAUUUACUACAGGAGGUCAAAACAGAAAUUUUCCCUGAACUACCCCCGCUGGGGUGGGGGUUAAGCCCGCUGGGUCGAGUUUUGUGCUACAUGGGCCCGCUGGGGUGGGCCUAGAGCCACUGGGGCGGGCGUGCCUUGGCGGUUCAGCCCCCAUUCGUGAUUUUGACAGUUUUUAGCUCAAAUACUCCAAUUAAAUGCAAAUUAAACUCACACAGUGAUUUCUAUGAAGUAUGAACUUCAUAGAAACAUCAUACAAUGUUACUAACAUAUUUUUAACAUCUUAAAUCAUGAAAUUACUCGAAUCAAAUCAUUAAAUUCCACUGUUCUUGGUGUUCUUGGCGGUUUUGAAGAAAAUUACGAAAAUCAUCGUCACGUAUUCGUUAUAACUUCGAAUCUGUCCGUUCAAAGUUUUUUUUUUUUAACAUGUAUAAUCAUAGUCUACUAUAAAAUUCAUGGUAAACAACCAAUUUAAAGCAUCCAAUUUAUACAUAAAGCCAUAUACGUGUUCUUCAUGCUCUACAACUUCUGAAAAUCCAAUUUAAACAUAAUUUCAUAGUUUUUGUUUCUUUAAAGCAUAUAUAAUUGAUGGAAUUCAUGUCAUAAUCAUAUAGUAACACGUAUAUAUUCACAUCAGGCAUAAAUCACAAGUUUGGUUGUUAUAGAGAACUUCAGAACACACGUUAAUGGAAGAACUUGAAAACAAAACUUGCAAACUAAAGAUGAAGGAAUUACCCUUGCUACUUGUGAGAUUAGAUGAUGUAAAACUCUUCUUAUUCUUUUAUUCUUCAAUCUAUCUUCCUUAAACUCUCAAACUCUCUCUCAAAAUUUUCUCUGAACUUACUAACUAGUAUAUAAUAUGAACUAAUAUAUGAUAUAAGUCUGAUUAUAUGAUAUAUAGAUAUAUAAUAUACGUAUGUAGAAUAACUGGUGUCGUAGUGGUCAGUUACUCCCAUUAUGGGUUAACUGGCCAACUCCUACUAAGGCCUCGUUUGGCUGGCCGCUUAAUAACUCAUUCCCAUUAAUUUUAUUAAAUGUUUUAUAGUAUAUUUUUAAUAUCACACUUCUAAUUAACCAAAUAAUCUUAUUUAAAUCAAUUAAAUAAAAUAUCAUAAAUCCACAUUAAAUCACAUAAUUAUAUAAUUAAAAUUCUCAUUUAUUAAUUAUAUCAAAUCAUUAAAUUUCUAAUUAAUUAUUAAAUUAAUUAGAACAACAUUAUGCUUUUUAAAUGAUUCAUUUAAUCAAAUAAGCUAAAUUAAAUACAUACUUUGAAUAAUAAAAUUCUCCACAUUAAUUUAAUCAAUGUAACACAUAUAAUUAAAUUAAUCUACCAUAAUUUCAUCAAUUAAUUAUUUAAUUCAAUAAUUAACUCAUCGAAAAUUAUUUAUUUAAUUCAAAAAAUAUUUAAAUUAAAUUACAAAAAUCUCGUUCGUCACAUCUUCCCCCCUUAAAAGGAUUCUGUCCUCAAAAUCACGGUUCAAUUAAAUUCGUCUCAUUACAUAUUGGAAGAUGGUCGGCCAAUAGUAUCUCUGCCUUAGAAUUUUGUAAGCCAAUUACUUGGCUCCCAUGUGAUCCCCACAGAUUCAGUCGUGCACAUCCUUUACAGUAUACUCGAUUUCCGAAGGUGUCAAACACUUGAGCAGUGGAGAAGUAAACGCCCUUUGGUACAGAUUCCCGUCAAUGAGAACGAAGUUGGAACUCCUGUGCUUGAUUUUUCUAGUGUAUAGGCGAUCCGAAGGCAGAACCCCCUUGGCCAGAUAGGAGAUGUAAGGUGUGUGCCAAUAGUCCAACAGAUCUAAGGCUAAUACAUCCACCUUCUGAACACUAGGUUUGUCCAACACUUCCAAGUAUACUGAGCCGGUAAAAGAACUUGCUUCGAUUGUAGCCAGUCGAGCCAGGGACUCUGCCACUGUGUUGUCUGAUCGAUCAAUCCCUUGGCAACUGUUUAAACUGAACUAUGUGAGUCUGUCUUUUACCUCGGCCGGGUAUUUUGCCAUCCUGGCCCCCCGAGCUUCAUAUUCCCCCGAUAUCUAUUUAACAACCAGCUAGGAGUCACUAUACACCACUAGCUUCUGAACUUUUAGGCUCCAGGCCAAGCGAAGUCUGGCCAAAAUGGCCUCGUAUUCUGCCUCAUUGUUGGUGGCCUUGAACUAAAAUCUAAUGGCCUGUUGGACCCGGAACCCUUCGGGACUUGUUAGAAUAAUCUCUGCUCUACUGAUGUCCGAAGUGGAUGACCCAUCCACGUAGAGAGUCCAUGCAGCUUGCAGCGAUUGUGUUUCGGUGACCAAAGUUACAUCUGCUUCGGAGAAGGAGCACUCUACAACAAAGUAUGCCAAGGCAUGUCCCUUAAUUGCCGUUCUGGGGUGGUAUUCCAUAGCAAACUGAGUUAAUUCCAUUGCCCAUGCGGUAAGCUAACCCGAGACUCCUGGCAUGUGCAUUACUUUCUUUAAGGGUUGAUAUGUGUAAACUAUCAUCAACCGACCCUGGAAAUAGUGCCAAGCUUUCGACUUGCAAUGAUCAGAGCGUAGGCAAACUUUUCCAGGUUCGAAUAUCUAGUCUCUAUUUCUCGAAGGACGUGGCUGACAUAAUAGACCGGGAACUGCCUUCCCCCUUUUUCUCGUACCAAUCUUGCCCCCACUUCCAUCGAGCUUGCCGCUAGAUAUAAAUACAAUGGUUCUGAAGGGAUCGGCUUCAUUAACAGAGGUGUCGAAGACAAGUAUUGCUUGAUCCCUUGGAAUACGUCUUCGCACUUAGAGGUCCACUGGAAACUCUUCUCGUUUUUUGGCCCCUUUAGAGUGUCGAAGAACGGCAGACACCUUUCGGCUUAUUUUGAUACAAAUCUCCAAAGAGCCGCUAUCCGAUCUGUCAUCCUCUUCACAUCCUUGUAUGACUUCGGCGACUUCAUAUCUAGGAUUGCCCGAAUUUUCUUCGGGUUCGCUUCAAUGCCUCUUUUGAUGACCAAAUAACCCAAAAUAUUCCUUGAACCCAAGACGAAGGUACAUUUAGUUGGAUUCAAACGCAGCUUAUGUUUCUAAACUAUUUCAAAGCAGCUUUCUAGGUCUGCCAGAUGGUCUCUAGGAGCUGUCGUUUACACUCCUAAAUUAACCUCACUUUCAUUUUACAAAUUCAAACAAUUAGCAUAGUAGCAAGCAAGGAUCGAUCCCACGGAGAGUGAUUUGUUUUAUAUUUGUUCUAUGAUUUCUAAUUAAAAGGGGGUUUUGAAUUGAUUAAACUAAAUUAACAAGAAUAAAGUAAUACGAAUUAACAAUGAAUAAAAAGCUUCAGUUCUUCAGUUCAAUGCCACCUUUUCACAAUUAUGGAGUAAUCAAGUUUUACAGUAUUUACCCUUCAAUGAAACUAUUAGCCCUAGAUAGAAACAAGAUUUGCUAUUCGAAAUUCUCCUUAUAUUGUCACUAUAUGAAACAAGCUCUUCACCAAAUUCUAACUGUAAUAUAACCUAGAACAAGCUCUCUAGAUUUAAUAUGACAGAAGCGUUAAGAAAUAAAGAAUUAGGCUAAUCCAAGCAACAAACACAUAAGCUUGAUUUGUUUAACUUGUUUCCUGAUAACCUUAGUAAUACACAAAAGCUUGUCCAUAAUUAGUAUCACUAAUUUGCUACUUGUGAUGAAGACAGAUAUCAAUAACAGUAAUAUCAAUGUUAAUCUAGUAGAUGAUAUCAAUUCACUAAUUUAAUCCUGCAGAAUCAUGUUAGUAAAUUGAAUAGCAUACAAGAAGUUAAAGUAGAAUAUAUCAGAAUAAAUCUUAUGCAAGAAAGAAUAAAUAAAGUAAAUUUGAUCAAAUCGUUUAAUUAUGAAAAUAGUUCAACAUCCCUUCAGAACUGAAUUGAAAGAAUUAGCUCAUGACUCUAAGCAAACCUAGAUCUAAUAUGAAAGAAAUAAUAAGAUGAAAAUACAAGAGAAAAGAUACCUAAAUAUAUUGGUCUCAUCCCUUUUUAUAAUCAUCUCCUUAUGUUGCAUCCAAUCCCGAGUCACGAAGGAAAUCAGUCAAGUCUCGCGCCUCCCCGCCUCAGCGGUGACAUUUAUUGUCCAGACUUGUUUUUAUGGUCAUGCCGCCCACUUAACAAGGAAACAACAAGGCUGAAUUAUAUUCCCUUAGUCAAGUACGUGACCCACAAGCUCCUCUAAUUUCCUCAAGCGCGUGACCCACAAGCUGCUCCAUCGUGGGUCAUCUCCUUUUGUCGUGAGGUGCUAAUAGUGUGUGAUAAUGGGCUCGUGAGGUGCUUGGAUCCAUGAACCCAUUUUAUAUGUGAUUCCUUUAAUUUCUUUGUAAUUGAACAAGCCAUAAGAUGCUAUAAUCUUUGGGACAAUUACAUAUAAUAGUACAUUUUAAUAAAAUAAUACAAAAAAAGUGCAUAAAUAAAAUAUUUACAAAAUUAAUGCAUAUGCAAUACUUAAUUACAAAAAGAGUGCAAUCUUAUCCCUUUAAUAUGGCCACGAUUUUCUCCCCAAUCUCUCCCAUAUCUCCCACGAUUUUCUCCCACUCCAUUUUUGUUUCCAUUCUCCUCCCCCUCCUUCCCUCCUUCCGCCUCCUCCCUCCCUACGCCNNNNNNNNNNNNNNNNNNNNNNNNNNNNNNNNNNNNNNNNNNNNNNNNNNNNNNNNNNNNNNNNNNNNNNNNNNNNNNNNNNNNNNNNNNNNNNNNNNNNNNNNNNNNNNNNNNNNNNNNNNNNNNNNNNNNNNNNNNNNNNNNNNNNNNNNNNNNNNNNNNNNNNNNNNNNNNNNNNNNNNNNNNNNNNNNNNNNNNNNNNNNNNNNNNNNNNNNNNNNNNNNNNNNNNNNNNNNNNNNNNNNNNNNNNNNNNNNNNNNNNNNNNNNNNNNNNNNNNNNNCCUCUCCUCCCUCCGCCUCCCACCGCUACCGGUCCAUUAUCCAUUUCCACUGGUAACCAAACCUUCAAACGUUGGUAACCAAAUAGUUAUAUCAAGGUAACCAAACAUUCAUACCAAGGUAACCAAACAUUCAUACCAAGGUAACCGAACCUUAAUAUGAAGGUUUCUUUAAGGUUUGGUUACCUUGGUAUGAAGGUAACCAAUUCAGUUUUAUUAGGUUACCAAUUUAUUUUGAAUGUGAUGCAGUUGGUAACCAAAAUUCAUGCAGUUGUUUACCAAACCUUCCGAUAAGGUAACCAAUUCAGUUUUAUUAGGUUACUAAUUUAUUUUGGAUGUGUUGCAGUUGGUAACCAAACUUCAUGUAGUUGGUUACCAAACCAUUUGAUAAGGUAACCAAUUCAGUUUUAUUUGAUUACCAAUUUUAUUUUAAAUGUGAUGCAGUUGCUAGCCAAACUUCGUAUAAAGGUAACCAUUUUAAUUUUUGUGGGUAACCAAAUCGUCAAAAAAAAUAAUCAAAAUAGCAACUCCGGUGGUGGCAGCGGCGGCGGCGGCGAGAGAGGAGGAUGAUGAACAUUAGCUCCUUCAUAAUUUUUUAUUUUUAAUUUCCUCAUUUUGAUUUGAAUUUUGAAAUAUGGAUUUGAAAUUGUUGUUAGAUCCAAAAUAUUUGAAUUUGAAUUAUUAGUUAUACUUGAUUUUAGGUUUCCUUAUUUAAUUUGAAAUUGAAUGGUUUGAAUUUUUUGCACUUUUUUUGUAAUUAUUUUGUGGAUGUACUUUUUUGUAAUUACUUUCUAAAUGUUGUAUAGUUCUGUAAAGGAUCCAUAAUCGUUCCUUUGCAAAUUCGUGUGCUGCUUCAUUUUAAUUGAUAAUGACCGCGACCCACAUAUGAAUUUAUUAAAUUCCUUUUUCCUUUGCAAGCACCUCAAAUAAGGUAAUAUAUAGAAGAAUCUAAACCACUCUAGAAGCGUGGAAGACCGGUUGGUGCAAAAGACAUUUUACCACGAAAAUCAAAAGUAAAUAAGGGAAUCCCAGAAAGAAUACCAGCUCCAAAAAUAGCACUUAUUUCAAGAGUGUGAAUAACCCCAGAAGAGAUACAAAAUCUCAGUGAAGGGAUAAGAGAUGAACACCAUAAGAUCUCAAUAAAUUAUGUAUAUGAUGAGAAAAUAUGGGAUCGAAGCAAAGUCAUAAUUGAUGAUAUAUUUGCUUUCUCUAUAACAUCAGAUAUUAAUUUGAUUCCUGACACGGAUCCUGAACCACAAAACAUGGAAGAAUGUCUGAAAAGAAAAGAUUGGCCAAAAUGGAAAGAUGCUAUUCAAACUGAGCUACAAUCUCUAUUGAAAAGAGAAGUAUUUUGACCAGUAGUCCAAACACCGCUGGGUGUAAUCCCAGUUGGAAACAAAUGGGUAUUUUUACGAAAGCGAAAUAAGAAAAAUGAAAUUGUGAGAUACAUAGCCCGACUUGUAGCUCAAGGGUUUUCACAAAGACCUGGUAUUGAUUAUCAGGAUACAUACUGUCCAGUAAUGGAUGGAGUCAUUUUUCGCUUUCUGCUAGGUAUGGCGACCAUGGAAGGUUUGGAAACACGUCUGAUGGAUGUUGUAACAGCAUACCUAUAUGGUUCACUUGACAGUGAGAUUUACAUUAGAAUCCCUGAAGGAUUGAAAAUGACUGAAUCAUAAAGGCCCCAUCACAUAUAUUCAAUCAAGUUACAACGCUCAUUAUAUGGGUUGAAACAGUCUGGUCGUAUGUGGUAAAAUUGACUUAGUGAUUAUUUAAUAAAAGAUGGGUAUAUAAAUAAUCAAGUAUGUCCAUGUGUUUUUAUUAAGAAAUCACAAAGUGGAUUUACCAUCAUUGCUAUAUAUGUCAAUGAUUUGAAUCUUGUAGGUACUCCUGAAGAACUCACAAGAACUGCUACUUAUUUAAAAGAAGAAUUUGAAAUGAAAGAUCUUGAAAAGACAAAAUUCUGUUUGGUAAUACAAGUGGAGCAUUUAGUAUCUGUAAUUUUUGAUCAUCUCAGUCGUUUUCAUAUGGAUAAAGCUCAUCCUUUGACUACCCUUAUGGUUGUUCGAUCUCUAGAAGUUGAUAAAGAUCCAUUUCGGCCUCUAGAAAGUGGAGAAGAAGUUCUUGGACCUGAAGUUCCAUUCCUAAGUGCAAUAGGUGCUCUUAUGUAUCUUGCAAACUGUACACGACCUGAUAUUACUUUUGUUGUCAACUUGUUGGCAAGAUAUAUAUAGUUCUUCUCCGACUAAGAGACAUUGGGAUACGAUCAAACACAUUUUGAGAUACCUCCGUGGAAGUAUAGAUCUUGGGUUAUUUUAUCCAAGAGAUUCAACGUCGCGAUUGGUUGGAUAUGCCGAUGCAGGAUAUUUAUCAGAUCCACACAAUGGAAGAUCACAAACAGGUUAUGUAUUUAUAUAUUGUGACACGGCUAUAUCCUGAAAAUCCACAAAGUAAACCAUGACAACUACAUCUUCAAAUCACUCAGAGAUUUUUGCUAUACAUGACGCAAGCAGAGAAUGUGUUUGGUUGAGAUCAAUUAUUCAGCAUAUUCAAGAAUCAUGCGGAUUACAUUCAAUUAAAGACAUUCCUACAAUUCUGUAUGAGGAUAACACUGCAUGCAUUGCUCAACUUAGAAGAUGGUACAUCAAGGGAGAUAGAACAAAACAUAUUUCACCUAAAUUCUUCUUCACACACGAGCUACAAAAGAAAGGUGAUAUAGAUGUGCAUCAAAUUCGAUCAUAUGAUAAUCUAGCCGACUUAUUCACAAAGUCGCUACCAAAUGCAACGUUUGCAAAACUUCUGAAAAAGAUCGGAAUAUGUCGACUGAAAGACUUAUGAAAACAUUUCAUCAAAGAGUAAAGAAUUCCAUUUGAGGGGAAGACUGUACUCUUUUUCCUUAGUCACGGUUUUUAUCCCAAUGGGUUUUUCCUGACAAGGUUUUAACAAGGCAGUCAAUUAAGAUAUUUAUGUAAAAGAUAUGUACUCUUUUUUCCUUUGUUAAGUUUUUCCCACUGGGUUUUCUUAACAAGAUUUUUAAUGAGACAUCUAUAUAAUAAAACAGAACCCAAUUUGAAUAUAUUCCAACUUUAAAAUUUGACAAAGCACAAUAACGGUUCAGAUUUCAUCUCAAUCCUUCCAACUUAAUCUAAAGGCUUACAUCUCAUCUCACACAAAAAAAUUCCCGCCCAGUAAAAAAAAACACGCCUAGUGAGGAGGGUUGAAUCAGAGGUAGGCAUAUUCAAUAACUUCCAUAAACCCCUCUUUGUCUUCUCUCUCAUGGCCAACUCUCCUACUCCUAGGGUUUCCGCCUUAUCUACUGGUUCACCUCCUCCUUUGAAGCUCUUGGCUGUUGAAAUCAUUAAAACCAGAGACCCUACGGUUCUCUCUCUUCUCUAUUGGUUCACCUACUCCUUUGAAAUCUUUGGCCUAUUCAGAAGGUUUAGCUGCCAAAAUGCUCAAUUUCUGAUGUUUCUAGCAAUGAAAACAAAACCCAUUUGGGUAAUUCCAAUUUGAAGAAACAAAUUUCAGGUAAGUGGUGGUGUUUUUGAGUUUUAAACCUCCAUUAAUGGAGUACUUACAUUUUUUUUUCAAUUCCCAAUAAAUAAUCUAUAUAAUAAAACAGAACCCAAUUUGAAUAUAUUCCAACUUUAAAAUUUAACAAAGCACAAUAACGGUUCAGAUUUCAUCUUAAUCAUUCCAACUUAAUCUAAAGGCUCACAUCUCAUCUCACCCAAAAAAAUUUCCUCCCAGUAAAAAAAACACGCCCAGUGAAGAGGGUUGAAUCAGAGGUAGGCAUAUUCAACAACUUCCAUAAACCCCUCUUUGCCUUUCUCUCACGGCCAACUCUCCUUCUACUCCUAGGGUUUUUGCCUUCUCUACUGGCUCACCUCCUCCUUUAAAGCUCUUGGCUGCUGAAAUUGUUAGAACCAGAGACCCUACGGUCUCUCUUUUCUCUACUGGUUCACCUCCUCCUUUGAAAUCUUUGGCCUAUUCGGAAGGCUCAGCUGCCAAAAUGCUCGAUUUAUGAUGUUUCUGCCAAUGAAAACAAAACCCAUUUGGGUAAUUCCAAUUUGAAGAAACAAAUUUCAGGUAAGUGGUGGUGUUUUUGAGUUUUAAACCUCCAUUAAUGGAGUACUUACAUUUUUUUUCAAUUCCCAAUAAAUAAUCUAUAUAAUAAAACAGAACCCAAUUUGAAUAUAAUCCAACUUUAAAAUUUGACAAAGCACAAUAACGGUUCAGUUUUCAUCUCAAUCCUUCCAACUUAAUCUAAAGGCUCACAUCUCAUCUCACCAAAAAAAAAUCCUGCCCAGUAAAAAAAACACGCCCAGUGAGGAGGGUUGAAUCAGAGGUAGGCAUAUUCAACAACUUCCAUAAACCCCUCUUUGCCUUCUUUCUCAUGGCCAACUCUCCUUCUACUCCUAGGGUUUUUACCUUCUCUACUGGCUCACCUCCUCCUUUGAAGCUCUUGGCUGCUGAAAUCGUUAGAACCAGAGACCCUACUGUUCUCUCUCUUCUCUACUAGUUCACCUCCUCCUUUGAAACCUUUGGCCUAUUAGGAAGGCUCAUUUGCCAAAAUGCUCGAUUUAUGAUGUUUCUGGCAAUGAAAACAAAACCCAUUUGGAUAAUUCCAAUUUAAAGAAACAAAUUUCAGAUAAAUGGUGGUGUUUUUAAGUUUUAAACCUCCAUUAAUGGAGUACUUACAUUUUUUUUCAAUUCCCAAUAAAUAAUCUAUAUAAUAAAAUGGAACCCAAUUUGAAUAUAUUCCAACUUUAAAAUUUGACAAAGCACAAUAACGAUUCAAAUUUCAUCUCAAUCCUUCCAACUUAAUCUAAAAGCUCACAUCUCAUCUCACCCAAAAAAAUUCCCGCCCAGUAAAAAAAACACGCCCAGUGAGGAGGGUUGAAUCAGAGGUAGGCAUAUUCAACGACUUCCAUAAACCCCUCGUUGCCUUCUCUCUCAUGGCCAACUCUCUUUCAACUCCUAGGGUUUUCGCCUUCUCUACUGCUUUACCUCCUCCUUUGAAGCCCUUAGCUGCUGAAAUCGUUAGAACCAGAGACCCUACGGUUCUCUCUCUUCUCUACUAAUUCACCUCCUCCUUUGAAAUCUUUGGCCUAUUCGGAAGGCUCAGCUGCCAAAAUGCUCGAUUUUUGAUGUUUCUGGCAAUGAAAACAAAACCCAUUUGGGUAAUUCCAAUUUGAAGAAACAAAUUUUAGGUAAGUGGUGGUGUUUUUGAGUUUUAAACCUCCAUUAAUGGAGUACUUACAUUUUUUUUCAAUUCCCAAUAAAUAAUCUAUAUAUACAGGAGAAAAAAUAUUGAGAAGAAGCUGCAAAACACAGUAAAGAAGGCGUCUGUAUGCAUAAUCUCCGCCAUAGAUGUUAGUACAUAUAAUCCCUUAGAUCGUUUUUGUUUGUAUUUGAUACUUUAUUUACACUGCCCCUGUUUAAUUUUCGUUAGUUUCAUUUCUUUUUCAUAAUUAGAUUGUUUGUAUUUCAUUCUUUAUUUAUACUGCCCCUGUUUAAUUUUCGUUAAUUUUAAAAAAAAUUAUAAUUAGAGACAUGUAGAGAUGAAUUUGGGGAUUUUUUAAAUAAAUUUAUUAGUGUGGGUUGAAAUCGUGGGAGAGAGGUUGAAAUCCAAAACACGUUAAUGUUUGAUCCAUUGUCAGUAGAUUUCGGCGAUGGUGAACCGGAAGAAACGAACCGUUGGAGAGCUCUACAAUGCGACUGUGAUGAUUAAGAAACCGGAGGCAUGUAAUUUAUGUUUCCAAUCCUUUCAAUUUUAAUUUCCCUUAAUGUUUCCGUAAUUGAUCACUUCAAUUUUCUAUAAUUAAUUUUGUUAUUUGCACAGUUAUUAUUAUUGGGAUUUUUUUAAUUUUGAUGUGUUUUUGUGGUAAUUUAUAACUUCAAUAGCUAUGUAUAAACAAACAUAUUUUUCCUUAUCAGUUAUCAUGCUUAGGAUGCUAGGUGCUUUAGGUGGCAUCACUAUGUAAUGCAGACAUGAUUUCGUAAAUUAAUGUAAACAUUUGGCUAAUACUUUUGGACACAGUAAUUGAUGUUGUUUGGUUUGCUUUCUAGAUCACCCCAGUUUUGAGUGGUAGCUGUCGAAUGCAAGAGCCAAUUAAUGAAACAGACAACGGCGAUCAAUUGAAUAUGGUGAGAUUACAGGGUAAUCAAUUGUUGUUCUUAAUGUUUAGUGUAGUGCAUGUGGUUUCUCCUUUUUUGGUACCCAACUUUUGAUUCUGGUAAAUUGAGAAAUUUGUUUAUAUUCAUUUCCUUUUAGACUUUCUUUCCAGUCCAUACAAAAUUUGGUAGUUGCAUUAGGCACUUUACAAUCCUGAACUUUUUUCGACUCUCUUUUUACCCUACUUUUUUCCUGUUCAUUGAAUUUAGAAAUGGAGAUGAUGAAAGAAAGGUUUGUAAAAUAUUUGCUGGGUCACAUGUCUGGAAGAGGUAAAGGGGUUUGCACUGCAUUGGCAAUUUCAAAUGCCUUCACUAAUCUUUGUUGUACUUGCUCUCUCUUUCUCUGUAUAUAAACAUUGUUGAGAUUGCUUUACAUUGUGAUGUGACAAAAUACCCUGUUAUGUAAGUUUUUUUAAUUGUUCGGCCAACUGUGGAGAUUGGAACCAUUGCCUUCUGAGAAGAAAUCAAUAUGGCAAAGAGAGAUGGAAGGUCUUUUUUUCAUUAGCGAAACAUUUCCUAAUGAUAUAUUUGAAGUAGUUAGAGCUUCAAACUUAUGAAGCACCUUCUUAUUUUUGCAUUAGCGAAACAAUUACAGCGAUUUUUUUGUGCGUUUACUUUCAGUGAUUUGUUAUUUUCUAAAUGUUAGACUUUACUUAUAAAUUAUGGUUUCUAUAAAAAAUGGAUGACCCUCAAUGUUAUGUUGCAGAUUACAUGUUUGAUAAAAUGUCAAUAAGUAGAGAAACAUAUAACCUCCAUCACAUACAUUCAAUUGUUUUGAUUUAAAAAAAGAUACUUAUUAUUUUAUCUUGAUUUUUUUUUCAAAUUGAUUAUACAAGGCGUCAAUUGAUGUCUUGAAUAUACAUCAGGAGGAUGUAUAUAUUCAUUUUGUUGCCAGUUACUAGACAUGGUUUUCCUCCCUUAUUCUUCAUUAGACGUUCCCCAUGCUACGGCGGUCCAAACCAUUUUGAAAAAAAAAAGAUUUUUCCAAUUGAGUUCAUUUUCUUUAUCUUUUCAUGCAAUUAUUUUUUUGUCUCAUGUUCACUUAUAAUUGGCUACUUAUAAAAGAAGUGUACCUAAACCGUUCUUAUGUUUGGAUUAUAAUUUUCAGGAAACUUGGUUAAACCAAGUAGAGGAGAUGUAGUUGCACUGUGACCGUGGUCUUUUCCAAUGUAGGUUCCUAUUUGAAAACAACCUCAUUUGUUAUGCAGGUUCCUAUUGGUUCCUAUUGGAUGGUGUUACAGACUGAUCGGUGUACCCAUGGGCAAUUGCAUCAACAGUGGCAUAACAAAUAUUUUCAUCAUAACCCAAUUCAAUUCCUUUUCUCUCCAGCGUGAAUUUUGGGAUGGCUUUGUUGAGGUAUGAUCAUUACACUAUAAUAAAUAUAUCUACAUUUGUUUUCCAAAAAAAAAUAUCUGCAUAUGUUAUCCAAAAAAGAGAAGAAAAAAAUGAAUAUAUCUAUAUUAUUAGAAAAAACUUAUAAGAUUAUGUUGUUUAUAGUUUUUUGAAAGUUUGGCUAAUUCUCAGAAUAUGACUAUUUCAAAGUAGACCUACAUCAACUAGUAAUCUCUAGAGAUUUAACUGUUUGUUAAUAAUUUUGAUCGGAUUUCUUCAGACUCAAAUCUGAACAAUAAAAUUAUGGGAAACGGGAAACAUCAUCGUAGCUUCAUUCCACAAAAAAAUAUAAAGGUAUUCUUUUGACAGUGUUAAAGUAUUGUUACCUUAGUUUUAACAUUUAGGUAGUUUAUUUUGACAUAGUUCAUGACUUUACCAGAAUUAAUGAAGUCUCUUAAGGUAUGUUAAGUCAAAUUUGAGAAGUAAUAAUUAAUAUACUUUCAAUUGUUUUUUUGUAUAAUAAUUUUGAACCUCUUCUAGAAGUCUUUUUAGUAAAUGUUUAUGAUGCAUUUUGGUUACAAAAGCAACCUGCAAAGGAGUAAUUCUUAGGAAUUGACAUUGUCCUCAUGUAGAAAAGUUGGGCAUCCAUGUGAGAUCAGCUAUAACUGCAAUGAUGUACAGAAAGGGACUCAGGUUCUCUAGCUCAGCCAAGCAAAGUCAUUCCGAUGGAGAGAUUUUUAACUACAUGGCGGUUGACGUUCAAAAAGUGGGGGACUACUCUUAGUAUCUCCAUGACAUAUGGAUGCUUCCUAUGCAAAUCAUUCUUGCUUUUUUUAUUCUAUAUAAGAAUGUUGGGAUUGCUACUAUUGCAACAUUGAUUGCCACCAUUAUCUCCAUUGUUGCAACUAUCCCCUUGGCAAUGUUCCUGGAAGAUUACCAAGACAAACUAAUGGAUGCAAAAGAUGAUAAAAUGAGGAAGACUUCUGAAUGUCUUAGAAACAUGAGGAUCCUCAAGCUGCAAGCUUGGGAGGAUAGGUACCGCCUGAAGCUUGAGGAAAUGCGAAGGGUAGAGUUUAAAUGGUUGUGUAAAGGUCUAUAUUCACAGGCAUUUAUUACAUUUAUUUUCUGGACAUCCCCUAUUUUUGUUUCGGCCAUCAUUUUUGGAAUUUCGAUAUUGUUAGGGGGUCAGCUUACUGUAGGUGGUGUUCUUUCUGCUCUGGCCACUUUUAAGAUCCUACAAGAACCUUUAACGAAUUUCCCAGACUAGGUGUCAAUGAUGACUCAGACGAAAGUGUCUCUUGAUCGAAUUACUGGGUUCCUGCUGGAAGAAGAGUUGCAGGAAAUCUGCUAUGUAUAUUUGUAUUUGCCUAGCCAGUAUCUUUUUCUGCUACUUUAGUUAUCUGUUCACAAGUUUAUGAAUCAGAAUGUUUUUCAUCUAUCUGUUGUUUAUUAGUGUGUAAAAAGAUUGAUUUAUACAUAGAUUGUGUACUCCCAGUCUUUUUUUUGACAUGAAUGAUAAACGAUGAUGUAUCAUAAACGAGGGUUAAAUGUUUUUUCAGUCAUCGUACUAUAGGUCAACUUACAGAUCGGUAACUGAACUUUUUUUUUUACAGUCAACUCACUGUACUCGAUUUUGCUAACAAAAUUAAAAAAACCGUUAAGUCAAAAUUUGACUUAACAAAAAUGAUGACUAGGCAGCUGGCUUGUCUUUAAAAAAAGCCUAUGUGGCAAUUAUUAUGCGACGUGGCAGUGAUAAUGUGGAUUUGGAGAAAUUUUUUAUGAAAAAAUGGGAAAAAAGAUUUUAAAGUAUAAUAUAAAUUAUAAAUAUUAGCCAAAAAAAAUAAGAAAAUAAAUAAAUAAAAAUAAUUAUUUUUAAUAAAAAUUAAAAAGUUAGUUUUUUUUAUUAAAAAAAAUUAAAACGUAUUUUUUUAAUAAUAAAAAAAACUUAUAAAAAAAUUGUCUUUUUUUAUUAAAAAAAACUGACUUUUAAUUAUUUUUAUUAAAAAAAACUUCAUUUUUUUAUUUUUAUUAAAAAAAACUAAGUUUUAAUUUUUUUUAAUAAAAAUAAAAAAAUAAUUAUUUUUAUUAAAAAAAAUGCGUUUUAAAUUUUUUUAAUAAAAAAAACUGCGCUUUUUAAUUUUUAUUAAAAAUAAUUAUUUUUAUUUAUUUAUUUUCUUAUUUUUUUGGCUAAUUUUUAUAAUUUAUAUUAUACUUUAAAAUAUUUUUUCCCAUUUUUUCAUAAAAAUUUUCUCCAAAUUCACAUUAUCACUGCUGUGAGACCCCAGAUUUUAUGAAUAAAUAUUUAAUUUUCUCGAAUUAUAUUUUUGAAAAUUAUGGUGUGGAUUUGAUAUAAUGUUAUAGUUGUGGGUAGUAUUUAUAAAUUUUACAAAGUACGCAAGUUGUUAUAAAAUAUUCGUUUGGUCAAAAAUAUUCGUACGACGGCACAAUCAUUGGUGGACCCCACAACGAAAUUAUUGUCGGAUUGAGAAAACGACAAAAAUACUUUAUGAAAAUAACGAACUAUUUAUAAAUCUUGUUCAAAUCAACACUUUCACGUUACCUGUCGAUCUUAUCUCUUUGAAAAUACUUGUCUUUGAUGUGAUUUUUGGAAAAGAUUGGUUAACUACUCAUCAUGCUUUUCGUAAGGUUGUUAGCUUUCAUACUCCUAACCAACCUGUUAAGCGAAUUCAAAGUAACCAAACCAUUAAAGUCAAUCAUUGUCAUAUCAAGCCAUAAAUAAAGAGCCCCGAUCCUUUCGUUGUUGACUUUCUUGUGUGGAAUGCACCGAAGCCAGACUUUCUGUAGGCGACGCUGUGAAUGACGAUAACAAGUUGAUAGGUAUAAAUGUGAUGUGUUACCCAAGUUUUGGAUGAGAGUCACAGUUUUGAAUGAUAUUUCCAUUGUUAAUAAAUUUUCUUACGUAUUAUUGAAGACUUCUUAGCCUACCCUGGAGCGUGAAAUCGAAUUUUGUAUUAACCCCAGUACAAAACCCAUUUCUAAAACCCUCAAAUAUUUCUUCACCUAAAACGAAAGUAACAUGUGCCAAAGACGUUGGCUCGAGCUGUUGAAGAUUACGAUCAUAUCAUUCAAUACCAUCGUGGAAAAGCGAACGUGGUAGCUGACGUGUUGAGUAGAAGAUCGUAUGCGUUACAAGUGCGAAUAUACGAACCCACGUGAAGAUAACGAAUAUACGAUUAGAAUCGACUUUAAUCGAUAAAGUUAAAGCAGCUCAAGCUACACACCCGGAGCUGAUGAAUGUGAAGAAUUAAGAAGGUUCAAGAGGGCGUUAUUCUAGAAGCAAGAAUCGAUUAAGAGAGAAAAUCUCAACCCUUGGUUUUAUUGGUCCAUUUGAAAUCCUCGAUCGAGUAGGAACUGUGGCUUAUAUACUCGUUCUACCGCCAAGUAGGUCGCGUGUUCAGAACGUUUUUUUUCGUAUCGAUGUUACGUAAAUAUGUGAAUGACCCGAACCACAUUAUUAAUUUAAAACCGGACGAGAUAGCAGAAGAUUUAACGUAUGAGGAGAUAUGUGUUAACAUCUUGGAUAAGAAGGAUCAUAUUCGACGCUCAAAGGUUAUACCUCAAGAGUUAGAAUUUGAAGUGAAGUCAAGGUAUCCUCACAUGUUCGGCAUACCAGGUACGUAUUUAAAUUUCGAGGGCGAAAUUUCAUAAGGAGGGGAGAUUGUGAGACCCCAGAUUUUAUGAAUAAAUAUUUAAUUUUCUCGAAUUAUAUUUUUGAAAAUUAUGGUGUGGAUUUGAUAUAAUGUUAUAGUUGUGGGUAGUAUUUAUAAAUUUUGCAAAGUACACAAGUUGUUAUAAAAUAUUCGUUUGGUCGGGGAAUAUUCGUACGACGGCACAAUCAUUGGUGGACCCCACAACGGAAUUAUUAUCGGAUUGAGAAAACGACAAAAAUACUUUAUGAAAAUAACGGCGAAGGUGUUACCGUUAAAACUGUUGAACUACUCGGUAGUAAAAGUACAGUAAUACGCGUGGUUGCAUAGUAGCACACGGUGUUGAUUAUUGAUGCUUAUGUGAGAAGUCACUCAGCUAUACUCAAUUAUUGCUACAGUAAUUUCUGGAUCAUAUCUCUUAUAUUAUUGAUUCAAUUAUUGUCACAGUAUCAUCUGUAUAAUAUGUUAUAUUAUUAAAUCAAUAAUUGAGACAACAAGUUAUAAAUGAUUAAUAAUUGUUGAAAGAUUAAAUAUGUGUUGAUUAAAAAUAAAAUGAUUUGUGGUAAUAUUUAUUCAAUCCUUGAUGUAUAUAAAGAGUCUNNNNNNNNNNNNNNNNNNNNNNNNNNNNNNNNNNNNNNNNNNNNNNNNNNNNNNNNNNNNNNNNNNNNNNNNNNNNNNNNNNNNNNNNNNNNNNNNNNNNNNNNNNNNNNNNNNNNNNNNNNNNNNNNNNNNNNNNNNNNNNNNNNNNNNNNNNNNNNNNNNNNNNNNNNNNNNNNNNNNNNNNNNNNNNNNNNNNNNNNNNNNNNNNNNNNNNNNNNNNNNNNNNNNNNNNNNNNNNNNNNNNNNNNNNNNNNNNNNNNNNNNNNNNNNNNNNNNNNNNNNNNNNNNNNNNNNNNNNNNNNNNNNNNNNNNNNNNNNNNNNNNNNNNNNNNNNNNNNNNNNNNNNNNNNNNNNNNNNNNNNNNNNNNNNNNNNNNNNNNNNNNNNNNNNNNNNNNNNNNNNNNNNNNNNNNNNNNNNNNNNNNNNNNNNNNNNNNNNNNNNNNNNNNNNNNNNNNNNNNNNNNNNNNNNNNNNNNNNNNNNNNNNNNNNNNNNNNNNNNNNNNNNNNNNNNNNNNNNNNNNNNNNNNNNNNNNNNNNNNNNNNNNNNNNNNNNNNNNNNNNNNNNNNNNNNNNNNNNNNNNNNNNNNNNNNNNNNNNNNNNNNNNNNNNNNNNNNNNNNNNNNNNNNNNNNNNNNNNNNNNNNNNNNNNNNNNNNNNNNNNNNNNNNNNNNNNNNNNNNNNNNNNNNNNNNNNNNNNNNNNNNNNNNNNNNNNNNNNNNNNNNNNNNNNNNNNNNNNNNNNNNNNNNNNNNNNNNNNNNNNNNNNNNNNNNNNNNNNNNNNNNNNNNNNNNNNNNNNNNNNNNNNNNNNNNNNNNNNNNNNNNNNNNNNNNNNNNNNNNNNNNNNNNNNNNNNNNNNNNNNNNNNNNNNNNNNNNNNNNNNNNNNNNNNNNNNNNNNNNNNNNNNNNNNNNNNNNNNNNNNNNNNNNNNNNNNNNNNNNNNNNNNNNNNNNNNNNNNNNNNNNNNNNNNNNNNNNNNNNNNNNNNNNNNNNNNNNNNNNNNNNNNNNNNNNNNNNNNNNNNNNNNNNNNNNNNNNNNNNNNNNNNNNNNNNNNNNNNNNNNNNNNNNNNNNNNNNNNNNNNNNNNNNNNNNNNNNNNNNNNNNNNNNNNNNNNNNNNNNNNNNNNNNNNNNNNNNNNNNNNNNNNNNNNNNNNNNNNNNNNNNNNNNNNNNNNNNNNNNNNNNNNNNNNNNNNNNNNNNNNNNNNNNNNNNNNNNNNNNNNNNNNNNNNNAGUCGGGGAACGGAGUGAUGGUCCAGAGGAUAGCAUUAGUAGUCCUCACUAUUUUGUGAAAUAGUGUGAUAAUAAUUGUAAUGAGGACUCCUUUUGAGUUUGUAUAAUCUCUAGUAGACAAUAUUUGUAUUCAAAGUUUUGUCGUAUUGUACACGACAGUUGUAUUAGUAAGUUGUAUUUGAAUUUUGUACCAUGUAAGUGGCGACCCAAGAUGGGUGACGUAUACCUAAUUUUGGGGGCGUCACAACUGUCACGUCGCAUAAUAAUUGCCACAUAGGCUUUUUUUUAUAGACAAGUCAGCUGCCUAGUCAUCAUUUCCGUUAAGUCAAACUUUGACUUAACGGUUUUUUUAAUUUUUGUUAGCAAAAUCGAGUACAGUGAGUUGACUGUAAGAAAAAAAAGUUCAGUUACCCAUCUGUAAGUUGACCUAUAGUACGAUGACUGAGAAAGCAUUUAACCCUCAUAAACGAUGAUGUAAUCCUUUUUUUACAUUAUUUGAUAUUUUUCUGUUAUUUCCCUAAUAAUAAGUUUUGAAAUAGAUGCGUCAUAUGCAAUAUUAAUAUUUGAAAAAAAAGAGUCAAUAACUAGAAAGAGAGUUCUUUCUUAAGAUGGGGGAGUAUUUGAUUAAAAUUAUGAAGUUUUUAUUUCCAUCAUAGCAGCUCAACGGAGCCUUGAUUUUUCAAGCCCUUCUAUUUACUUUCUCGGGAAUUUUCAUUGAAUUUUUUUGUAUGAAUUUUUAGUUCAAUACAGAUGAUACAAUUUUAUUUAGUAAAAUUUGAAGAAUUUUUAUUUUUAAAAUGUACCUGUCAGCUUUAGUCAUUUGAGAUUGUGGAGAAGGAUUUGGCGAAAUGAGAAUGCUAUUUUUAUUAAAAGGGGCCCAUAAUUAAAAGCACCAUCUUUACUUUCUAGCCUCCUUAUUUACAGUAAGAAAUAGAUGCGUCAUGUUUUCAUUGUAAAAAAUGGUGUCUUGACUUUUAAAAGUAUAGUGGAUUAACUUUGAAUGGCAGUGCCUUAUUUAUUUUUUGGGGUUGCACAAAGGCAAGAGUGCAUGUGAAAGGAGGCACUGAUAUGUAGACGGCUUGGACCUUAGGGGGUUAAGGAAUGUCAUGUACAUGACCAUGAGAAUAAUAUGGAGGAGUUUUCUUAAGUAUUGGGGUGUUCUGGGAAAUUUUCAGUAGUUGCAUAACUUGCACUAGGUCUGUGUGGAUGUUUUCUUGAAAGCACUUUUGUGGACCACUUCAGUAGUAUCUCUGCCGAAAUUUCUUGAAAUUAGUAACGACUAGCUUGAUGUUUUGGUGGUUGGAUAUGUAUUGAUGAUUGAGUGUAUAUUACUGAUCGUAAGUUAUUUUCGGUUGUAAAAAGUCUUUAAAGAAUGUAAUAUUUUUCAACUUAUAAUCUAAUUUUUCGUUAGGCCGUUCCUUCAAGCACGGACAAUUACUAGUAAUCUUCUAUAGUAGAAAAUCACGGAAAGUAUUGUAAAGUGAUUCCCUCCUCCGCAGGGCUCCUCUUUCUUCUUCUCCUCUCCCGUGAACCUUUUCUUCCUCCAUCCGUGAACUUGAGCUUUGCAUAUAAGGCAAUGCUUCUGAAGGAAAUAAAAUAACUUUUCUCCGAUUAUCUCUCUCUUUCUCUCUUACUUAUUCUCUCAUUAUUAAUAAAUAAUAAAAGUAUUCUUCUAUACUUUGCUAAAAUUUUAUAACAAAUAAUAUAAUAAAAGUAAAACUGUCAUCUCAAAACAAGUUCGCAUUUUGAACGGGCUACCAAACUUGUGAUUAAAAGGUGUCGAUUAUUGUUGGGCUAAUCAGCCUUUUGAAAAGUGUUUCAAAUCUUUAGCCACGGCGGUUGCCUAAUAAAUAGUCCAGCCCGAACGCGGGAAAAAAAUGAACCAUUACAAAAGGAGAGCUCCCUUGCCCUCAAUCAAUCUAGUCUAGGGUUAGGGUUAGGGUUAGGGUUAGCAGGAAGAGAAAUCUGAGGAAGAUGGGCGUGGUUACGCGAUACGGGGCUCUUCGUCCAGGGCAAAUCCAUGCGAGCUUUGUAAAGUGAAAGAUGUUUAUAUAAGCAAUCCUCGUCAUGAGCCUUGAGCAAUUACUUCAGAUGAUGGGCAGAGCAUAGUUUUACUUGAUCCUCUCUGUGUCAGAACAUUCAUUCCUGAUCGUGAUGAUGGCGGCAGCGGUUCUUGGGGGCCGGACGUUCCUUGUGGUACUCUUUCAAAAGAUUAAAUUUUCAAAUUUAGACAUAUGUCCUUCCCACUUGUUCUUGAUGAAGUACGACUUACAAAGCAAAUCGGUGGAAUGCAUACAAGAGAAGAGGACUUUGGGCACUGGCAUGGAGGUGGCGUUGUGCUUUUGGAUCACUACUUGUUUUGCUUUGGCGUACAAGAGGGGAGCUGCUCUGGAAAGCCUCGAUCAUUGUAUGCCUUUAAUUUACGGAAUCUCAAGUUGCAUUCCAAGGUUCGGAAUCUUCCUAAACCAGAUGAUAAGGGGUUUCCCGAGGAAGACUUGUAUGUUGAUGAUCAGUUGGCAUGCUUGCUUAAAAUCUGAUUUGGAAUAACUUGGACUGUUACUCUGAUGAUCUAACUAUGCUUCGUGUUGUGAAAUUCACCAUAUUCAAAAGUGAGACUGGCAAGUUAUUCGAAACUCGUAUGUUGUCUAAAGGACAUUGUGUUGUUGAUGGUCGUUUUCCUAUCAGCUGCCUCGCAAUGUAAGCAUUUCUCCCUUUGUUUUCAUUUCUUUUGUUUCUUCUAUUUUGUGAAACUUAUUUUUUUAUGUAACACAAUUUCUCUUUGCUGCAAUUUAAGUUUGAUUCUCUGAUAAUUGCAGUCCCCCCUCUCUUAUGAGUUUUACCAAAAUUUUAAUUUUGGAAGAGUCUCGCUACUGCUACCUCGACUAAACCUAUAAAUUAGCUGUUAGAUACCAAAUGUUAGAACAUUGGAGAUUGCACUUAUAAAAAACAUAGAAGCUUUUGAAUUAAACUAUGAUGAAAAGUCAGAUCUUAAUAGUCACUUUGAGUUCAAAUUGCAAACAUGGAUUUUAGUGAGAACAUACGUGAUUGCGUGUGUAUAAAUAUCUAACGAUUUUAUUAUUUAUUUUUGUAUGAUAUGUUUUCAUUGCUUUUAUUGUUUGUUAGCAUACUUUGUGAAAGAAAUCCUUAUGAAGUACGUUUUUCUUCAAUCUCGGUGGAAGUGCGUCAUGUCCAACUAUGUGCAUGGCAUUGUAGGCUUUGAAAUCGAAAAAAGCUUUAGAUCCUUAUUUUUAUUUUCAUUGCCCUUUAUUAGCAUGCUCAUUGAGCUCCAAGUCUUUUGGGGUUCUGUAGUGCUGUUAGAUGGUAUGAGUGAGAGUUUGAAGAUUCAGUGACAUACUAUGAGGAGCAAUCAUACAUUAUACUUUUUUAUAUUUUGUGGAAAAUCAUACGGUAGGUAUUUGUUCCAAGGUAAGCAAGUUGACAAAUCUGAUGUAGCAAAGAACCAAAGACGAAAUGAAAAACUCACAAGAAAAUUGGUGAAUCCAUCAUAGCAUUUAUUGUAUAUCCUAAAUUUCCUUUACCUUAGUAUACUGAGAAUACACAAGGAAUUGGUGAGAAUAAAGAACUUAUAUGUAGUGAUGCAGUAGCAUUUAUAGCAAUCCUUAAGCUCCUUCAGCGGAUUAUACUGAGAAUACCCACGAAAUUGGUGAGCAUAGUAGAAGUUUGCAAUGGACUAAGUUGUUAGAUUAUUAUUAGGAGUUUUUUCCCUUAUUAAUUAGGUAACUUGAUUUAUAGUAGAAUUAUGGUUUCGUCUAGUCGAUAUAAACUAAUGUAAUUUCAUGCUUUUCUAGAGUUGACUGUAUUACUCCCUCAGCCUUAGAAGCAUGUGUGUAAGUGCAAGUUUUUUCCCCCUCCAAAUGAUGGCUUUUUAAUACACAAGUCAAAUUAAAAUGUACUUUAAAUCUAGAAAAAGGAGAGGAGAAAACUCUGAACAAAACAGUGUAUUCAUGUAUCAAGAACCGUAAUGCAGUGAUUCAUCUUUUGACAUAGAAAGAUGAAUGAUCUCAAGCCUAGAUUCGUAUUUUAGACGUUUAAAUUAUAGUAGUAGAUUUUUAGUUAGGAGAAUUUUUUUUUUAAAUUAGGAUUUUUAUUAUAGUAAUAAAUUUUAAUUAGGAGAUUGAUUUUAAUUGGCAAAACUAAUGAUUAUCCCACUAUAGUGGACACUUUUUACUUAAUACAUCAUUGAACUUUUAAUUUUUGCAAUUACCACAUUAAACUAACUAAAAAAGUAAAAUCGAACCAUUUCGUUAAAUUGUCCAAACCUGUCAAACUAUUUCAAGUUUUUUUCCUACAUGGCUGAUAAAAAAAUAGAAAUAGAAAAAGAAAAUAAAAUAAUGACCUGUUCUGCGCCUACAUAGUAUUUUUUUUUUGGUGAAGCACCUACGUAGAGAGCUUCGAAUGUCAUGAAUUAACAACAUUAGAGAACUCGCCACCAGAGAUGGCGAAACCCAACCAGUAGCAUUAGAGAACUUGUCGCGGGCGAUGGCAAACCCCCCUGAACGUUCCCAUCCGACUCAUCAUUUUUUUUAUCGCCGAUCAUCUCUUAGUAACGAAGAAUGCGACGUUAGGAUUUAGGGUUUCUAAAUCCACCAAUUGUUUCUUCAACAAUCUGUCGGUGCCCCCCCCUACCCAAUCCAACCGCCACAGACGACUGCGGUUCAAGGAAUUGGGAUAGAAACUAGUGUUUACUACCGCCGGAGGUGAAGUUUAUUGGGGCCGAUGAGGAUUUUUUACGUGAAGAUGAAGAAUCUUGAUUUGCUGUUCAACAACAAGAUUAUAGUUCAUGGACUUGCAGGGCAGUUUAGACAUUCUAUUUUUUUCACCAGCCACGUAUGAAAUUUCUAGAGCAAAUGUAAUGAGCGUUUAAUUAUUUUAAUAGAAUCGUCUAAUUUCAAUUUCUAAUUAAUUCAAUGUGGUAAUUGCAUUUUUUUUAAAAUUUAGUGUUGUAAUAAGUAAAAUAUGCCAACUGCUGUGGGGAAAUCAUUAGUUUUGCCGAUUUUAAUUAUAAAUUAGAAUUUAAUUAGGAGAUUGAUUUUAGUUAUAAAUAGUUUGAUACUCCGUGCGAGGCACGUGCUAGUUUAUAUCGUUCUUUUCAUAAAUAUUUGAUAAUUUUUUAUUGAUAUGUAUUUAUCAUUUUUUAUUGACAUAAUACAUAUAUAAUGUUGAAGAUAAUUUGAAUCAGCAUAUAACUUUUAGUAUUUCAAGAAGAAAUGUAACGCCCCCAAAUCCAGGUCUGCCCGGAUUCGUCCUUCAAAUAACCUGACUGAUAAUUCAAUUCUCGUGAACAGAUGACCAACUUUCUUUUUCUUCCAUUUUCUUCCAGAAUGAACGGGCAGUGUCUUGACAUUUUUUUUCAAAUACCCCAUCCAUGCUUAUAUGUGAAUCUUUUAUCAGUAUCUCGUUGACUAUUUUCUAUCUCAAUAAAUCUUUCCUGCAAUUGGCCCACGUCAUUAUCCAUGAAGACCAAAAAUAUUAAUUUAGCAUUUAUUCAUUUUUAAUUAUUUUAUUCUUAGUUAAUAAUUACCUGAAUUCUUCAUUUCUGCAAUUGACUAUUUUCGUGAUCUACCUUGUCAAAUUAUAUAUAUAUAUAUAUAUAUAUAUAUAUAUACAUAUAUAUAUAUAUUGGGUUUUACCACUUUUAUCUACUGUUCAUGACGGAUUACUAUUCAUGCCGGAGUACUAUUCAUGACAGAAGUUAAUUUUUCUUGUCCAAAUUUGCCCAAAUCAUUAAUAUUAAUCAUAUUGAUUUUAACAUUAAACAUUUAUUUAUUUAACUUUUCUCCCUUAUUUUGUAAUUUCAAAUGCUCAAAUUAGGAUUCCUAGUUCUUAUAUUCUAGGAUUUUCUUUCCCGUUUUCGCUAAAAGUUUAUGUUCUUAUGCAUGAUUUUUGCUGCAUUAACACAUCAUAUAUUAUUUUACUAUGUUGUGAGGAAUGUAUCAACAUCAUAUAAAAUAUAUAAAAAAGAAUACUUAAAACAUACCUUCUAAUUUUGUUUUUCUACGUUUUUCCCAUUUUUUCUUGUUCUGCUAAUGUUCAGCUGUGGCCUCCUCUUCAUUUUUCUUUCUCACGCCUCUUCUCCCACUCUUAUUUCUGACUUCCCUCUUUUUCCUUCUUUUAGGAAUAUAUAUAUAUAUAUAUAUAUAUAUAUAUAUAUAUAUAUAUAUAUAUAUCUUUACUAGGAGAAUAAGUAGGGAGAAGGGUACGUGUAUAUCUAUAUAUAUAUAUAAUUUAUAUAUAAAUCACUUACCUAGCAUUCAUUUAAUAAGUAGGGAAUGCAGGUGACUCUAUGUAACUCCGUUAGAAGAAGAAUAGGUAGAUGAUACCUAUUUCCCAUGUGAACCUUCAACUAAAAU